UACUUGAACCCGCCCCGAACCUGUCCCGGGUUUUUAAAAAAAAUCCCAAACCCGUCCCAAACCCGUUUAUUAAAAUUGAACCCCGUCCCAUUAGGGGCGGGACGGGGCGGGGCGGGUAGCCGAAAAAACCUACCUCAUUGCCAUCCCUACCCAUGGUUAGGAAUAUCUAAAUAUUUAUCAUGUUGGGAGAAUUUGGCGCUAAACCUUUUCUGAAGGAUGGCUCGAUAUUUUUGGUGGUUCUAGAAUCAAGGAGAAACAAAAGAUUAUUGAUUUAUUUCACUUUUUAAUAUAUAGAGAGUGGACGUACUUGUCAUUUUUAUCAAUAACAAUCUUUGAAUAGGCUGCCUGGAGAUCAUUGUGGUAGAUUCAGUAGGUAAUAUUGCUGUGUUAAUCUGUCAAUUUAUGUGUUGCUGUCAUUGCUUCUUAAGGUGUUGAUGUCAUUCAGGCAAAGCUUGAAACCCCACUUGGCCACAAAUUUCCCAUCAUACCUGGGUCCUGUCGUGGAGUUUAUAUUUUAUGCCAUUUUUUUCUCAUUCAAAGAUGUUCAAUAAAUUAUUCUUACUGCCUAUUAAAAUAAUCUAAAUAAUAUUUCUCUUGUGAAAUCUCAAGCAUUCUUAUUGUUCCUCCUCUUUCUCCUCUGUUCUAUGUCAGUAGAUUUGAUGUUGUGCAUACAUGCCUCUGGGUAAUAAUAUAGUUUAUCAUGCAUUUUAUUAGCAAUUGAUUAUGUAUCUGAGUUUUUUCAGCAACUCCAAGGAGUUCAUGGACACUCAGCGCUUGGUGACACAUGCCUAUAUGUCUCACAAGUUUGGACUGAGAGCAGACCACUUGGGUCUUCACAAAGCAAUUUGUGUUCUGUUGGGAUGGAACAGCAUUGUGCCCCCAGACACAAUAACAUGGGUUCCUCAUGUCUUACCUGGUGAUGAAGCUUUGACUCAGAAAGAGGACCUCAUUCUCUGGCCACCACUUGUCAUCAUCCAUAACAUUUCUAUUUCGAACAGUGAUCCAGAAGAAUGGAAGCUUGUAACCAUUGAAGCGCUUGGGGCUUUUCUCAGAGGUGUGUGACUAACUUUUGGUUAAAUAAUUAUAUUGAGUCGGUUUACUACUGAAUUUAAUUGGAGGGAAUGCAAUGCAUAUAAAAAAUAAGAAUGCAAUUUAACCUAUUCUUGACAAGCAACACAGAAUGAGAAAUAUGAGAUUAUUAUUAUUGUCAGAUAAUAAGUCUGACCAAAAAGACAAGCUCAUUGUCAACCAACCCAACUUAAACCCGACCCUAAUAAACUUGUUGAACAAACAUGUUGAAUCCUGCCCCAUUUGAUGAGAAAACAUGGCGAACCUUAUGAUGUAAUUCUUAUUUUGCUACUUGAAAAUUAGCGGUUUUAAAAAACUUUGAAGGCUAAUGCCCUUAUACUUUCAUGGGGGUGAACCUCUCAUUAUCCUGAGCAAGAGCUUAUAUUUUUUUCCUUCUGAUCGUUGACUACUUGGUUUUGUGUUGAUUCUUCUAAAUGCCCUGGUUGCUUCCUUCAAGUCUUCACACCAUUAGAAAUCUAUAGUGCCCUUGCUAUCAUUUGACUAUUUCAUUCUUAUUCCCUAGUCUCAAUAUUUUCCUUUCCUUCUUUUAAAUCAACCCUGUCAAUCAAAUUUAACUUCACCAAACCCAGGGCUAUCCAUAUCAACUCUUUCUCUGAAAAUUGAGGUCAUAUAGGCUAAGUUAUAGCAUAUUAGGUUGGGUUGGGUUAUUGGCAAAGUGAUAAGCUCUUCAGAUUAAAAGUUUUGGGUCUGUUUGGGAACUAUUCAUGAAAAUUGUCUUUUGUUCUAUAAUAUAAAAUAGAUUUUUAACUUAAGAUAAAACGUGUGACAAAUUUUUUAACUGACAAUAGUUUUUUAAGAAUUUGUUUUGAAAACAGAUUGAUUUUUGUAGAUGUUUUCAGGUGUUUUUUGUGGAGUAUUUUGAGAAACAAUUUAAUAUAUGAAGAAUGUUUUGAGAAGUUUAGCAUUGUGCAUUAUAUCUGAUAAAAAAAAAUAUGAGUGCAUUAUAACUUCAUAGAAAAUAAGUUGACAAAAUUAUUUUUCACAUUUGAGUUCUUAAAUAGAUUUUUUUUUUUUUUUUUUUAAAAAAACAAUUGAGAAAUGUUCUGAAGAAUUUUUAUUAAAAAUUGAUUUUUGAGAACUGUAUUUGAAAACACUUGUGUUUAUCUCUAGCUUAACUCAGCUUAACUGAGCUGGUGCCCUAAUGCUCACUCUGGAUUUGGCUUAAAUAAAUCAGCGAUGUGCACAGUAAAUUAGUUUUGGAAGCUGGUGCUAUGCUUAUUCUGUUUUACUGCCUUCGCUUUUUGGGGUCUUAAUGGCAGGUAAAGGUUUUGGCGGGGGAAAAUUCAAGAUGUGCCUCGGUAAGCCUGCAGACCAUAGUGUUAUGGUGGUGAAGUUCUUGGGUACGUUUUCUGGACUGGAAGAUGCAGUAAAGCUUCAUAAGUAUUAUGCUGGGAAUAAUCAUGGAAGAGCAGAUCUUGAGAAAAUAAAUUACAACAAUGGCAAAAGCAGCAGCAGUACGGAAGCAGGAAUGCAGCCAGACAAACCAGAGGAGGUUGUUCUAUAUGGGUACAUGGGAAUUGCAGAGGACUUGGACAAACUUGAUUUUGACUCCAAGAGAAGGUGUUUGAUUCAAAGCAAGCAGGAGAUCCGGGAGCUUGCAGAUGCCCCUGUUAAACCUGAUUAGAAGUAACUGUUCAAAUCUGUAAAUUAAAGAUAGAAUAAUCUUGUUUAACAAGCUUGAGCUAUGUUUUUUCCUCUCUACAAACCUAUGUCAGUUAUGUAAACAGAGCUGUUAUGUAACACUUCCUCGUCAGCUCUUUAUGAAUUCCCAUAGAACUAAAUUCUAACUAAGUUUGCUAGUGGAGGACAGCUAGUGUUUGGGGGCACUUGGGUUUCCCUCUUGCUAAUGCAAUUUUCAGAUUGUUUUAUCAUCUUUCUCAGAAUCAAUCUUACUUCUCGGAAAUUGGAUUAUGAUUGAAUGCCUUUCAAGUCAGAAUUUCAAUUACCGACCCUCAAUGGAUCAAUUUCAAGCUCAAGUCCCUGGGGCAGAGCAGGGUGCUGGGCUUGCCCGAUCGGACGGCACCGAGCCCUCUGAUCCUUGUCCGCACAAUUCAUCGUGAUUUACCCUAUGUUUCUUCGAUUCUUCACUCCCUCCCAAAUCAACUACUCUUCUUACCACAACUCCGUUGGUCAAAACCAUUAAUAUUCAACCUACCAUUCAUUGACCAACGCCUCCUUUCUUUGGCACAACUCCGUUGGUCAAACUAUUAGUAUUCAACCAACCAUUCAUUAAGUGUCUCGAGUAGAAUUUGGCCCAUCCGAAGGUCUCCUUUCACAAAAUCUUAUUUUAUGUUUUUUCUACAGGAAGGAAUGGGAUUUCAACUAGAAGAUGGGUCCCCUAUAUCAGUAUUGACAUUACCCAUUUGACAAAGAGCAAAGGGAUAUCAUCUCUAGGUACCCAAGAAUUUUACAAAUUUGUAGUUUCUAUAUUGGUUUUGAUUUUGAAGUGAGGAUGAUAUCAUUGAAAAUGUAGAAAUUAAGAAAAAUAACAAAUGAUAAGCUCUUCAAAUUUACAAAAUUCAAGAUAAAUACAAGGCAGCCACUUCUCAUUCCGUCAUCUGUAAAUCACACAUACUUGUGUAUGCAAAUGAAGAAGAAACAAUCAUUUUCUGAGACUUUCCUUUACCUCCUUUGGAAGUUAAGGAACUUAAUGCCAUAGGCAAAGACGAACAAGAAGAGGAGGACCCAACCAAUAUGAGCCAACGCAACCGCUCCCAGGAAAUCAUAUUCAAAGCCUAAAGCCUCCUUAAGAUACAGCUUCACUGACUUGACACCUGCUCCAGGUACCUGAACCGGAUCCUCCUUGUCGCCCACCUGAGAUGUCACUAGUCCGUAGAUGGUCCAAGAAACAGGGGAAGCCCAGUAGUACCACCUCCACCAUAUUGGUAUUUGCUGCAGAUGUACAGUUUGUUAGAAUUCAAUAUUCUUCUACAAAAACAUACUCAAAUUCUUCGUAGGCAUACGCACCAUCCUAGGGAUGAGAAAACCAGCGAAGAGAUUCCAAAAGCUUAGGAAAAACGACAUAACAAUGGCAGCAAUUUGAUGGUUGGGAGUGAGUGCCACGAUCAUCAUUCCAUACAAUGUGAAGUAAAUAAAGCACAUGAGUAGGUAGUAGUAGAACCAUAAGAACUUGUCCACUCGCCAGUAGAAUCCCAUCAUAGAGUAGAGGAGAAGACUGUAAACCAAAGUUUGGAUUGCAACGUAAAUUGCCUCUAUGGCCACCUGCAGGGCAUCCGAAUACAAGAUUAGUUUAAAGUUAAGCUCUACUAGAAAUGUGUCUGUUUCUCAUCAGUUUUCUCAAAAGGCAACCUGGGCAAAUGCGUAAGGCAAUGCUGAAUACAUCCCAGCUGCCCUUUCACGGUAGAAGACUGUUCUCUCAAUUGCCACAACAGGCUGCACUGAGGAAGUGUUGGUGGCUCCAAGGAAGAAGACAGCUGAAAACAUAGCUCCCAGCAGAUUUAUUAGAUCUUGUUCCUUGUCUCUGCAUACAGUAGUUGGGGUGUUGGUUCACAUUUUUUGUUAAUUAUUAAUGGAGAACAACCAAAAUAAUAAAUUUGCAAUACUUACGUCUUCUCUCCUUUGUUCCAGAAAAUUACUCCAAAUAGAACACCAAUAAUUAUGGUCAAGAAGAACCGGAUAGCAUUAUAGGGAGGAUUCCUCCAAUAAGACCAGUGCUGUUUCCAGAAGCAAGCCUUGCAUUGACUAAUAAAGCUUUGAGAGUAUUUGGUGGGGAAAUAAAGGUCUUUGGAUCCUGGUGAUGGUGUGCUCAGCUCUUUGAUGAGUUCCUGAUUCCUCCUGCAACAAAAAGGUGAGUGUAAUAAGUCAUUGGAAAAAGAAUUGAGACAGAAAGAUGAUGUUCCAAGGAAUCAUAAUCCACUUACUGAUAGAGUUCAGAUUUAGCAUAAAUUUCUGCAAAAUCCACACCAAGUUGAGCCUCAACUGCAGCAGAGCUGAUCUCCAGCAUCCAUGUAGCAGGAUUUUGACCAUCUCUGACUUUAGGAACCCCCGGGACAGCCUGCAGCAAGUUAUGGAUUUGAUCAUGACACACUCCUUAUAAGUAUAACAAUGGAGAUGGAGCAAGUUCACGGAAGAUGAAUAAUGCUCACUUCAAAGUACUCUACAAGCUUGUGAGAAUUGCGACCAAGAGCUCCAGCAUAAAUGAUUUGUCCUCCUCUCUUCAUCAGCAGUAGCUGCAGGCAAAAAUGAUGUUGGAUUGAAGAAAGGAAUGGUGACUCCAUGAUAAUCAUACCAAUAAGAAGUAUUAGAUUCAAAACCAUGAAACUGAGAAAUACCUCAUCGAAAGCUUCAAAGAUGUCUAUGCUUGGCUGGUGAAUGGUGCAGACAACAGUCCGCCCUGUAUCCACUGUGUUUCUAACAGUACGCAUAACAACUGCGGCUGCUCUAGCAUCAAGGCCUGUCGUUGGCUCAUCCAUGAAGAGGAUGGAGGGGUUAGCAACCAAUUCUACAGCUACUGUCAGCCUCUUCCUCUGUUCUGUUGAAAGCCCAUGUAUUCCGGGAAGGCCAACCAAAGCAUCCCUCAGGGGGUGAAGCUCAACCAAUUCCAUUACUUCCUCAACAAACACCUAUGGCACAGAAGGAACAAAAAAAAAAAAAAAAACAACUGAUGAAUAUAGCUUAUAAGAGGGUGAACUAAAAGAAAAAUCAUUCAUUUGAAAAAAGGACAUGCCUGCCUUGUUUCCUUCUUGACAUCUGGAGCAAGGCGCAGCCAGGCAGAGUAAACAAGAGAUUCAUAAACAGUUACAUUUGGAGAAUGUAUAUCAUUCUGCUCACAGUAUCCACUAAUACGAGCGAAAGUUGCUUGGUUUUUGGGGUAACCAGAAAUACUGAUACUUCCUUCAAUGUAUCCACCAGUUUUCCUUCCUGCUAACACAUCCAUCAAAGUGGUCUUUCCAGCACCACUAACACCAACUAAUGCUAUUUGAAUACCUGGCCUGAAAGCACCACUAGCAUCCCGCAGCAGUUGGAGACGAUCCGCUUCAAUUCCUUGGCUCUUCAUUCCCUGUGAUUGAAUCCAUAAAAAAGUUUCAAAGCUCUAGACCAAGAUCAUAUCCUAACACAUAUAUUAGUCUCACUGGUGUGUCUACAUACUCAAAACAAGUUACUUACAGCAGGCAUAUCAACAUAGUAAUUCACAUGCUCAAAUGCAAGUGAUAAGGGCUGGAAGGGCAACACCAUUCCCCUUUUAGUAGGUGUAUGAUUUGCAUCUUUGACAACUGAUUUGGUGCUUUCUCUAGUUUUCCUUACUUCCAUAUCAAUACCUGUUACCAUAGACCUACUAUCAGCUUCCAGAUAAAGAAAAUCUGAUGUUUAUGUUAUUUGUAAUGUACAGUAUCGCUAGCCUCUUCAAGAAGUGAUUAACAAGAAUUUUGUGAGGGUCAGGUAAAAAUCUGGUGUCUCCUAGAGAAGGAGAACCAAUAGCAAGAAGCAAGUUCAGAAAUUGUAGAACCAUACAAUAAUAGUUGAUGAAACAUUGUUAAUAGCAACAUCUUCUCCUCUCUGCAAAGGGAAAUUUGCAGCAUGUUUCAGAAGAAAUAGAUCUCAAAACUUAUCCUUUUUGUCCUAACAUUUUGAAAUCUCUCUUAAUAUCCACCACUUUGUUAGGCUUGAGUUUUAGGCUAUCAUGCUACUGGUUUUCGACAUUGAUAAACCACUCAGUUUAUUGAAAAUGAACACCAUAAGGUGGCAAUCACAGGGGAUUUGAUUCAGUGGAAAACUAGAUAUUGAAUUAUUGUUGAAUGGAAACUGUAUAUGGACCUAAUGCUUGGUUAAUAAAAUAUAUAGAAACGCUAGAAGACAAACAAACAACCAAAAACCAGAGGAGAUCAAAGUAGGAAAAAUCUUGAACCUUCAGACAUUGGGGCAGUAGCUGAAUUUCUUUCUGGGGUGGUCAGAUCAUGCUGUUUGUUAGAGAAAAACUGCUUCUCACUCUUUUCUUCAUUUUCCUCAUCAAUAAUGACAGAUUUUGAGUCUCCCAGAGCUGCAUUUGAGUUUCAGAAAAUUGUCAAAACUAGAAUCUUAUUUAAAUAAUACCCAGUUCUGACUGAUGGAUGGUAAUUCCAUGACUAGAACCUUUGGAGGGAAGGAAAAAGGAAAAUGGAGGUUAGUAUAAGCAAUAACUUACGGUCCAAAUAUGUCAGAGCUACAAUGAAACAGAUAUUGAAGAGCAGAGAAAACCCCAUGAGUGCACCAACACAAAUCCAAUACCAAUAGCCAUCCACAAACAUGCCUCUUGCCUUGAGAAGAGCUUUUCCAACUGUGGGUUCUGGAAUUCUUUGAUCGAUGUUGGGCUGUGCCAAAAACCGAUUAGCGUAUACAAAGACAGACCAAGUAAUGACGGCAGAAAUGCCAAAGCUUAAAACAAAGUGAGAAACAAUCAUUCAAAAGCUACUAGGAAACCUUACCGCACUCCAUCUGUCAUCAAGAAAUUCAUUGAUGACAAGCGCAUUUUGUCCAUACGUCAUUGGAGAAGCAUAAUAUCCCCAUAUCAUCCAUGGUUCAAUAUCAUCUGAGUAAGAAGGAGAAACAAAUGGUUUAUUACAUUAUCACUCAUAUGAUAUAAUCACAUGAAGAGUGCCCCUUGUCUCCCUUUCCACUUGAAAUAUGGCAUCAGUGUUGCAAAAACAAUCUGUUGAAUUUUGACUUAGUAUUUGCUGGAAUUUGAAUUUUGAAUAUUGCAGCUGGAGUCUUGCACAAAAUCUGCAACAUCUAGAUAUUUUCUUAUUUUUAUUUGGUCAAGAUUUGGUUUCUAUUUUAUAGGAAGUAGUUGUUCAUCAUCUAGUAGCUUGAUUUUCUGCUAUUCUAAUGUCAUUUAAGUUACAAGUUCAUGUAUAAAUUCAGCAUUCUUCAUCAAUAAAAUUAGAGUUCCAGCAGCCCAAAAAUACAUAUUUUAUAUAAGUGUUUAAUCCAAAUACCAACAAAGUGGUAUCAGAGCCAUAGUUAUCUUGAGGGGCCAGUGAGGUGAGUGAACCCAAACACCUUCUAAAAUCAUUUAGCAAUGGAAGAGUCAAGUCUCACAGUUGCACCAUCAAUUCUUGAUGGAGACAAUUAUGAAACUUGGGCUGUUAGAAUGACAGUUCAUCUACAAGCACUUGAUGUUUGGGAAGCAGUGGAAGAAAAUUAUGAAGUUCCUCCCCUGGGAGCCAAUCCAACUGUGGCUCAAAUGAAGUUGCAUAAAGAAAGAAGGACAAGAAAGGCUAAAGCGAAAGCUUGCUUGUUUGCUGCAGUUUCACCAUCAAUUUUCAUCAAAAUCAUGAAAAUUGAUUCAGCUGCAGAAAUUUGGGAGUAUCUCAAGGAGGAAUACAAAGGAGAUGAAAGAAUCAAGAACAUGCAGGUGAUGAACUUGAUUCGAGAAUUUGAAAUGAAGAAAAUGAGGGAGUCUGAUGCUGUUAAAGACUAUGCUGCACAACUUCUUUCAAUAGCAGACAAAGUUAGGCUGCUUGGAAAAGAAUUUUCCAAUGAGAAGAUUGUUCAAAAGAUAUUGGUUACACUUCCUGAGAAAUAUGAAGCUACAAUUUCCUCUUUGGAGAAUUCAAAAGAUCUGUCAACUAUUAGCUUGACAGAAUUAUUACAUUCCUUGGAGGCUGUGGAACAAAGAAGACUCAUGAGACAAGGAGAUACUGCAGAAGGAGCAUUUCAAGCAAGAAUGCAGAAAAAUGCAGGCCAUAAAAAUGGAAAGGUGAACAACAACAAGUCGUGUGGCAACAACCAGAAAAAUGGAGUUUUUCCACCUUGUCCUCAUUGCAAGAAGACAAAUCAUUCUCCACAAAAAUGUUGGUGGAGACCAGAUGUGAAAUGCAACAAGUGUGGUAAACAAGGACAUGUGGAGAGGAUUUGCAAAAAUCAACAGCAGGAAGAAACUAAUGCAGUAGUUGACUAUUGUCAGGAGGAGCAAUUGUUUGCAGCAACGUGUUUUGCUAAUAAAAGCACCUCUAAAAGCUGGCUUGUGGAUAGUGGUUGUACAAACCACAUGACAAAUAAUCAAGAUCUCUUUAGAGAACUUGAUAGAACAACUAUUUCCAAAGUCAGAAUUGGAAAUGGUGAGUAUAUUCCAGUGAAGGGCAAAGGAACGGUUGCUAUCGAAAGCCAAACAGGUUUGAAACUCAUUUAUGAUGUUUUGUUUGUGCCUGACAUUGACCAAAACUUACUCAGUGUUGGACAGCUCGUUGAGAAAGAAUUUAAAGUUUAUUUUGAAGAUAGGAAUUGCAUUAUCAAGGAUGCUGAAGGCAAAGAGGUGUUCAACAUAAAAAUGAAGGGCAAGAGUUUUGCCUUGAAUUUACUGGAAGAUGAGCAUACUGCUAUUUUACAACAAGAUAGCACAACAAUGUUUUGGGACAGAAGGGUCGAGCACUUUCAUCAUGAUGAUGUGCUCUACAUGAAGAAAAAUCAAAUAGUUGAAGGACUUCCUGACUUAGAAAAAGAUCUUCCUAUAUGUGCUACUUGUCAAUAUGGGAAGCAAACUAAACUUCCCUUUCCAAAGAAAAUAUCCUGGAGAGCAACCCAAAAACUGCAACUGGUGCAUACUGAUGUUGGUGGAUCUAAAAAAAUGCCAUCCUUGAAAUGGAAUGCAAACAAUGUUUGGUGGAUCUCAAAAAAUGCCAUCCUUGAAAUGGAAUGCAAACAAUUUUGGGCUAAAACUGCAAGUAGAGCAGUAUAUUUUCUGAACAUAUUGCCAACAAAAGUGUUAAAGAAGCAGACCCCUUUCGAAGUUUGGUUUGAGUGUCUACGUGCAAGACUUGGAGUUUGCAUCUACGAAGUCAAGGAGGAGUGUUGAAUUUUGACUUAGUAUUUGCUGGAAUUUGAAUUUUGAAUAUUGCAGCUGGAGUCUUGCACAAAAUCUGCAACAUCUAGAUAUUUUCUUAUUUUUAUUUGGUCAAGUUUUGGUUUCUAUUUUAUAGGAAGUAGUUGUUCAUCAUCUAGUAGCUUGAUUUUCUGCUAUUCUAAUGUCAUUUAAGUUACAAGUUCAUGUAUAAAUUCAGCAUUCUUCAUCAAUAAAAUUAGAGUUCCAGCAGCCCAAAAAUACAUAUUUUAUAUAAGUGUUUAAUCCAAAUACCAACACAAUCAGCUCAGUGCAUAGCAAAAAGACACAAAACACUGACCUUUGGCUACAAUGAAACCACCCAGAACAAAAACCAGUAGCAAUGUAAAGGUACCAAGAGUGUUGGCCACAAUCUGUGUUCUUCCAAGUGCUGCAAUGAAGCGGAAGAGAGAUAGAGCCAUCUGAUGCACGCCAAAGAAUGCCAGUAAUUGACGGAAAAACCUGAACAUUUUUCAAGUCUUGGGUUGUCUUAGUUCCAUUUGUGAAUGCUAAAACAAGAGUCAGGAAGAAUGAGGUCCAUUCACAUACCUACUAGCAGAAGGGGCAAACCCAAUAGUGUAAUACGUGAGAAUGAUCCAUAUCCCUGACUCCAUGAGUGACAAGGGGAUCCUAAGGACCCAAAUUGGUAAUGCAAAAGCCCAUGCCGGGUAAAACAAGAAAUCCCUCUGCUUAAAAAACACUGGGAGCCUGAAAAGAGUCAAUGCAAGCUCUGCCAUUCCGUUAAACAUUACAUUUAUGAGACUAUAAAACAGAGCCCCAUAGAAUUUUACUCCAUCUUGCAGUUGGCCAUGCUUCAUUUCUGUUCUGAAGAACACUGUCAUGGCAAUUACUGACAUGAUUGUAAUCUGGGUUGUCUUGAAUAUGUAUAUAAAAGAGUUGCGCUUCAUCAAUAGCCACUCCCUGGCAAAGCAUGCCUUGAAGAGUUCCCAGUUGGAGAUUCCAUACUUUUCUGUCACCAAUGCUGCAGGAUGGGUUCUGCUCUUAUUGUAAGGGAUUCCAAGGUCGUCUGAAAGCUUCUGGCCAAUGUGGAAAGAGUUGAAAUGUUGUGCAAACUCGGGCACUGAGAUAUAUUUGUAAGGUUCAUUGUGUCUGAACCAGUAUUGUUCUUGUUCCUUUCUGGAAGUCACCUCUUGCAAGAAGUCUGCAACUCCUUUUCUUUUUGGGCAUUUGAAGCCCACGCUUUCAAAGAACUCAAGGAUGUUUUCACGGGGACCUUGGUACACAAUCUGACCCUCACAUAGUAAGAUAAUGGCAUCAAAAAGAUCAUAAGUUUCAGGUGCAGGUUGGAGAAGAGAGAUUAUCAUGGUUACUUCCAUGAUAUGAACCAUCUGCCUCAUAAACUUGACAAUCUGAAAAGUGGUGGAACUGUCCAGACCAGUUGAUAUUUCAUCCAUGAAAAGAGCCUUUGCUGGUCCAACCAACAUUUCUCCUGCAUUCAGUUUCAUCAGUCAUAUUAGGCUUUUGUGGAAUAUUAAAAAUCUUAAGAACAAGGAUUCCUCAGAAAGCAGACAAUUCAUAAUUGAUCAGUAGCUCAAUUCAAAUUGAAGGCAAAUGCUUUACCACUAAGUUGAAAGAAACAAUUGAUAUAGGACAUAAUCAAUGGAAAUGGGGCACAUACCGGUAGUAACACGCUUCUUUUCUCCACCAGAAAUGCCCCUUCUCAUAUCAUCUCCCAACACAAUGUCAGCGCAGAUGUCUAAUCCCAGCAUCUGUUACACAGACAAUGUCAAAGAGCGUAAAGCUUGGGAAUGUAACUAAUAGGCCAGGCACCAAAUGGAAAUGGAGGUGCAAACCUUGAGCACAUAAUCUGUAACCAAACUAGUUUCUUGGCCUGCCAUUGCUGUUGCUUUCAUGAAUGCAUCUAUCUCAGGAUCUGGCUUAAUUGCAGAUUCUUUUUCUCGUCUUGACAAUUCUGCUAGUAGUUCAUAUCUGGUUCCAACUCCCAAACAUCGUCCUGAGAAGUCCAACGUUUCCCUAACUGUCAUCUCACCAUGGUGCAGAUCAUGCUGGCUAAUGUAAGCACAUGUUCUCUGAGGAACAAACUCUGAUAAUUCAUGACCACAGUAUGUGAUUUUUCCUUCCAUCUGUCCAUAAACACCGCACACAACAGAUCAAUGAGUUCAGGAAUCGGGGACUAUCACCAUCACUAAAUAAUUCAGAAUUAAGGAACAGUCCGAGGACAUGGGCUAAAACUAGGGAAGGAAAUAACGAUGACACAGUGAAGGAUCGAAUUGGAUAAAAAUAUUUGUCAGAAUGUAAGUUGGGGGGACAGCAUACCCUUAGAUCUUUGUCCAUCUUCCCAGCAAGCGCCUGCAGCAGGGUAGUUUUCCCUGAGGCUGGAGGUCCCAGAAGCAGGGUCAUUCUGCAAAACACAGAAGCUAAUCAAGAAACCAGCAAAGAAAGAAAGUGUACUUAAUGGGAAAUUUUUUUGUUAUCCUAUUGAAUUUUCCCAGAAUAUGUAUCAAUCAAAUUAUCUAAAGACAUCAUUCAGGAGAUUUGUGUUAUGGGUAACAUGAUUGAUUGAAUGGUACUUCCAAAAAUGGAAUACAUUUACCUUGAUGGUUUCACGAUCCCACUCACAUCUUUUAGUAUCUUGACUACCCUUUUCUUGGAUGAGGAAAGCCUAAUCAGUCCAAGUAUUCCCUGUUCAUGACAAUAAAUAAACACAAUCAUACUUCAUUUAUCUCUACAACAGUCUUCUCAAUUGAAGCAAACAUCUCCCAAAAACAUUAUCAGGAGAUUGAAGUCAUUCAUUAUAAUUUGCUGAAAGGGAAAAUCAAGAAUCACCAUCGAAAACAGAAGAAGAAAAACAAAGGGACAAACAGAACAAACUACCUCUAUGAAGUUCAUGGUAGAAUUGAGCAGAGUAGGAAGUGCUCUGGUUCCAACAUAUGCGUCUCCUUCCACUGAUAAAUGCUCAAACCGGACUUCGAUUUUUGGUAUCUCAACCCCAACCCUGUUGAGCAAACAGAUGUUAUGUUUCAUAAAACUUUUCUGGUAACAAAUUCAACCGGGGCAAAGCCAAAAGCAAAAAAACACAUGACCAACAGGGUGAACUUCAUGGGAAGAAAGAGAGAAGAGUGACCUAUCAGUCCUUUCCCUGAGCCUGAGAAGGAACUUCUCAUUAUCUUCUUCAACAACCUUAAGUAUACUCUCUAUGAGAUGCUUCCUCUCCUGCAUACCAAGAUUGGUGAAGUCAACUUCUUCAUGGACAACCUUCCCAUCAUCCAAAACUUGCUUAAGCAUCCCCUUCCUCAACCGCUCAAAGGUUGGAAGCCUUUCAAUGGCCGCCCACUUCAACUCUUCCUCAUCAUCCUCUCUCCUACUCUGAAAAACAUCACCUUGUGCUGACAACACCUCAAGAAUACUCGCAGAAGCCCAACUUCGCCUACUUCCAGACGCUAAACUUUUGCGCCUGCUGCUCAUGGACCUUGCUAGAUCAUCCCCAGCCAAUGCUGCAGCCAUUGUCACCCACCAAAACCCCUCAGAGUAAAGACUCCAAACCCCCCUUUAUAAUAACCCUGGAAAGCUCAGAUUCAACCGAUGAGCUCAAGAUGCUAGAGAAGGUGUGGAUGAAAUGGUGAGUAGAUGAGAUUGAUGGGCAUGGAGUGAUGUAGGAGGUGAUGGAGACUGGAAAGCGGUAGAGAAGUGGGCAUUACUGAGUGGCAGAGGAGAGUCUUUUAUGACGUACAUGAAAUUUUUAUGUUUGAUCACUUGACAGUUCGGGAGACUUGAGAGUUGGCUGGUGAGACUUUCAUGCAUAUGGAUGCAAAUCUUUUUCGGCUUAAUUAUGGCUGGCAUAUAGUUUGGAGAGGGUAAGUGUGUUUUUGGUGUCUCCGUGUUAGCUUAACAACCACAAUAAAAAUAAAAUAAAAUAAAAACCUAAAAUUAAUUAAAAUUUCACCCACCCAAGAAAAAGAUAGUACAUGUGUUGUUAAAUGCUACUACUUUAAUAUUAUCCUUCACUUAAAAAUGUAUAAAAAUAACAAUUAUUUUGAAAUCACAUCAUACCAUUUCAAAAAUAAAAAUUUCCCUUACAUGUAAAGGUUUUUUUAACAAAAAUAAAACAUUUGACCCCUCUAAAAAAACAAUAUAAAUUUAAUUUUAAAAUUUUUAAAAAUAAAAAGUGAUGGUAACUAAAUAUUAUUACCACGACCGAACUAAAAUUAAAAAAUAAAAUAAAAUCUUCUUUAAUAUUUUUCAUACUUAUUUUUUCUUGUUUUUUUGAAUCUUUUUCUUGUUUAUGCUUAGUUUUUAUGAUUGGUUUAACUUACCAGAGAUAGUUAAUGUUAUCCUUAAUUUACAUAUUGAUAUUUAUCUAUUUAUUAUGUAUUAGUUUGAAUUAUAAUAAAAUAUAGAAUUUGAUUUAGAGUGAAAGUUUACUAUUAAAACCUACUCCCAAUCGUGUAGAUAUUAUCCGUUUUGGACCCAAAGGGGCCCUCUCAGCUUUAAAACGCGUCUAAUUGGUUAAGAGGAGUCUCUACAUAUAUAACAUUAGGAACUUUCUCUUAUAUCCGAUGUGGGACAUCACAAACACUUCUUAUGCAAACACAACGUUUGUAACGACCCGCUCCCAACUAUGUAGAUAUUAUUCGCUUUGAACCCAAAGGGGCUCUCACGACUUUAAAACGUGUUUACAGGGUUAAGAAAAGUUCAUGCUUAUAUAGUGCUAUGAACUUUCUCCCCUAUUCGAUGUGGGAUGUCAUAAACAUCCCCCUAUGCAGACACAACGUCCUUGUUGUGUCCUACGAGAUUGUGGGGCCAAACAAACACCCUUACGGGACUAAACAAACCCCACACCGAGGUCGGGGAUCAGCUUUGAUACCAUUUGUAAUGACCCGCUUCCAAUCGUGUAGAUAUUGUCUGCUUUGGACCCAAAGGGGCCCUCACGGCUUUAAAACUCGUCUACAGGGUUAAGAGAAGUCCAUACUUAUAUAGUGCAGGGAACUUUCUCCCUUAUCCGAUGUGGGAUGUCACAAAAUUUUUGUAAUGGCCCGCUCCUAACCGUGUAGAUAUUGUCCACUUUGGACCUAAAGGGACCUUCACGGCUUUAAAACGCGUCUAUAGGGUUAAGAGAAGUCCAUACUUAUAUAGUGCAAGAAAUUUUCUCCCAUAUCCGAUGUGAGAUGUCAUAAACACCCCCCAUGCAGACACAACGUCCUCGUUGUGUCCCACGAGAUUGUGGGGCCAAACAAACACCCUUACGGGACCAAACAAACCUCACACCAAGGUUGGGGAUUGGCUCUAAUACCAUUUGUAAUGGCCCGCUCCCAACCCUGUAGAUAUUAUCCGUUUUGGACCCAAAGAGGCCCUCACGGCUUUAAAACGCGUCUACAAGGUUAAGAGAAGUUCAUACUUAUAUAGCGCAAGAAACUUUUUCCCCUAUCCGAUGUGGGAUGUCACAAACACCCCCCAUGCAGACACAAUGUCUUCGUUGUAUCCCAUGGGAUUGUGGGGCCAAACAAACACCUUUACGGGACCAAACAAAUCCUACACCGAGGUCGAAAAUCGGCUCUGAUACCAUUUGUAAUGGUCUGCUCCUAACCGUGUAGAUAUUAUCCGCUUUGGACCCAAAGGGGCCUUCACGGCUUUAAAACGCCUCUAUAGGGUUAAGAGAAGUCCAUACUUAUAUAGCGCCAUGAACUUUUUCCCUUAUCCGAUGUGGGAUGUCACAAACACCCCCCUAUGCAGACACAACGUCUUCGUUGUGUCCCGCGGGAUUGUGGGGCCAAACAAACACCCUUAUGGGACCAAAAAAUCCCCACAUCGAGGUCUGAGAUCGGCACUGAUACCAUUUGUAACGAUCUGCACCCAACUGUGUAGAUAUUGUCCACUUUGGGUCCAAAGCAGACAAUAUCUACACGGUUGGGAACAGAUCGUUACAUUGAAUUGUAGUAGAACCCAAAUAUAUUUAUAUAUAAAUACUUAGCAUCAUUAAUGAGAAUAGUAUGUCAUAUUUUCUUUAUCUAUAUGAUAUCAAAGCCUUGAAUUCUAAACCCUAAUUCAACUUAGAGCAAAUUUAGGGUGCAAGGCUCAGGCCCUACAUGCCUCCCCCUACCCUUACCGCAAAUCGUAGUGACCUUGCUAUGCCUAUGUAUUGAAUGUAGUAUUUUGAAAUACAUUUUCAUAGCCAAGAACUCCAAUUUUUCUUAGUUCAAACCUACUAGAAGUUUCUUCUCCUUUGCUUCCACUUGGUUCCUUUAUUUAACAUAUAUUUUUUUUAUUCCCUUCAACUCUACCUUUCUCUCUUUCUUUAAAACCUUCAUCAAAGAUAUAUUUUCUUUAUUUAUAUAACUAAAUCAUAAAAAAAAAAAUACUUGUUAAGUUUUUAUUAACUAAUAUUUUUACCUGGAAGUAGGAAUAUAAUGUGAAUCGAUCAAAGUUUAACCAUUAAGUUGCAAGUGUUUAAUGAUUUAUUAUAAGUUUUAAGUGAAAGACUUUACUUUCGAAGAUAGUCCAUUAUUUGAAAAAGAAAAAAAGCUAAGAUAUUGAUUUUGUAUCUAUGAAAAUUUUGGAUACCCGAAUAUAAUGCUACCAAUAAUUGUACUAAUGCACAUAUGUCUCUCUCCCAUCAAUCGGUACUAGUUAAAGUAAUGGAAAUUCCCAUAUUUGUUUGAUGAGAAAUUCGAAAGAAAAAAUAUAUAUAAUAUAAAUAAAAUAUAAAUAAAAUAUAAAUAUAAAUUAAGAAUAAGCAUCCCCUGUAGAUAAAUAAAUCUUUUUUUUUUUUUUUAUUGGAUCCGUCGGGACUGACGGGGCUCGAACCCGCAGCUUCCAUACCCGAUUCAUAACUAGAAAGUUUCUCUGGUCCUUUACUAAUCGGAGCUAAAACUCUGGAAAAUUUUAAUGUCCACUUUUGAAAGCAUAUAGAAUUCUAAGUUUUUUGAAUGUAAGUAUAAAAAAUGAAGUAAGGUAUAAAUAAAUAAGAUUAAGUUGUAAGACAAUGAGAUCUAAAGACGUUAAACAAAAAUGAUUGAAUUCUUUAAAAUAAUUUUAAAUGUUUUUUCUUUAAAAUGACUAAAAUUAUUGAAAAUUUAUAAUUAUUUUUCUUUUAAUUUUUUUAAUUCUUUUAUUUUUUAUAUAUCUAAAAUCUAAAACUUUUUUCAAUGUUCUUAAUACCAUGUUGUUUAAUUUGAUACAUUUUUAUAAUUAAUAUUUAAAAUUAUUUAAUUUUUUUAAUAAUAAUAUAAAAUACUAUUAAUUAGCUUACAAUUUAUAAAUGAUAACUAUAACAUUUUUCUUGGAUCCCUCUUAACAAAAGUCUCUGGCUCGGCCAUUGGUUCACGAGUCUCCCAAUUUCUAUCCAACUUUUAUCUUAUUAUUUUGUAUUUUAAUUUUAUUAUUUAUAUGGGAGUUUUAUAUAUUUCUUAGUAUAUACUUAGAAUAGAUUAAUUUAGAAAGUUGGUAUGUGGCCCAGAAGAGAGGCAAUUUGGACGGCCAACGUGGCAUAAAUGCGUCAACUUGACUGACAAAUCACAUUAAACCCUUAAUGCCCAUGCCUUCCCAACUGCCUCCUGCUCUGAUUGAUAUUGAGUGGAAGUAAAUGCUCUAUUAAUAUCCCCUUCUAUGAUUUUGACUUUCAUUCAUUACACCCCACAUUUCUCAAUCCAACAAAUGUCGACAUGACAGAAGUAGAGAAAAUUAAAAUCUUCAUCUAAACAUCAUGUACGGGGAAUAAAUUCCCUAAUUAAAAUUUCUUGACCCCAAUUAUUCACGGAUUUUUUAAAUAAAAAUGUUAUUUUAAAAAAUAUUAUUAAAAUAUAGUUGCAAAAAUAUGAUGCUUUUUAACAUAUUUUUUUAUUUAUAUCCUAAAUUUAUCUUUUCAAAAUAUCAAUUCACUUUUUAAAAAAUGAUUUUAUUUUUUGUACUGUAAGGAUCAGUCAUAUUUUUACCUUAGAACAUUUUAUAUUGAAUUGGACUUUUCAAAAAAUGAAAAGACGAGUUCUACUUGUAAUUAAAAAGUGUUGCAAAUUUAAAAUCAUUUUUUAUAUUACGGUUAUUUAAAAAAUGCACUACUCUUGUAGAAAUCUCAAUUAUUCACCUCAUCAAACAAUUUUGAAAAAAAAAUGUCAUGUUUAAAUCUAGUUUUUAUUUUUAAGAUCAGGCAAGAACCUAAUGUUUUAAAAGCCUAACUAAUUAAAAAAACAAACCAUAUAUUAUAAAUGGAGUUUUUUGAAUUAGUUUUUAAAAAGAUGUGGUGAAUAAGUAACCUUAGAAUCCAUUUUUGGUAGUGAUUUUAGAAUACUUUUUUAACACAAAAAGUGUUUUUGAAAACAAAUUAGAUGGUUUAAAAUUUUGUAAAAUCACUUAUAUCAUUAAAAAAAUCAUUUAUAACAUUUUCUAGAAAAACAAUUGAUAAAUGAUUUUUCUAAAAACAUUUCUAGGUAGAAACAUUGCGAAAUACAGUAUUAAUUUAUUACUUUUUUUUAAAUCUUUAUAAAAUGAAUGAAGAAACUUUUCAAGCAAACAAAUUAAUACAAAUAUUAUUAAUAUAAAAUAAGUUGGAAAAAAAAGGGAAAAAUCGAUGCAUCAAAUUUCGUUUGAUUUGUAAUCUUUUCGUCCAAUGAGCAAUCAUCUUUCAUUUCUCAUUUAUAUAUAAAUAUAUAUAUUUUUAAAUUUUUUCAAAACAAAUGAAUUCCAAUGGGAAACUUAUGCAUUAGAUUCUUUAAUGAGCUUAUUAACUUUUAGAAAUGAUUUGAAAUCUAGAGCAGUGUAAAAUCCUAUAAAUAAUUGAGGAGUAUAUGCAUGUGUGACAAAAAAGUUAAUUUAUUUACAUAAAUUAGCGUUCUCCCUCUUUCUCCUUUUGUUUGAGAUUCAACGAAGUCAACAAGUACAUAUGUUGACUAAUCAGCUUUGGUCAUGAUCAAUACACGAAAUAACCUCGCAAUUUCCUUGUAUUUAUGUUUCUGUGAAGUCCAAAUUCAUUUAUUACUCAAAGCAUUAAUUUCAGAAAAUAAUAAAUAAUAUUUGUUUUUUAAGAAUUUUUCUAUUCCAUUGAAAAGCCGAUUUUUCAAUAUAAUAUAAAAAUAUGGUAAUGCAAGAAAUAUUGUUUGAUCCUAUUUCUUUGAACCUGUGUUGUUUUUAUUUUUCAUAUCAAAAACUCAAAUCUUAAGUUAGACAUUGUAUUGAAGGGGCAACAUAAAAUCUUUAUUAUUCACCUCAACUAAGUGUUAUUUUUUAUUUUUUAUUUUUUAUUCUUUUAUUUCCCAAUUUGCAGAUCUAAGAGGUUGGAUUUGAAACUAUUGGGUAAGACAUAAUCUUGGUUUUGUUAAAAAAAAUAAAAAUAAAUAAAGAAUAAGAAAUAAAGAUUAAAAAAACGCAUGAGAAUCCAAUUGAGAAAGUAAGAAUUUUCAUUUUCUAAAGCCCGCAUGCAAUUUGGGGUGCUUGAAUGAACUUGAUAUUGAAUUUCAUUUCCAACAAAGGAAUUUAGGUUCAUUUGGAAAAAAAAAAAAUCAUAAAGAAUAUGAAAAAUAAAACAAAUUAUUAUGGGGAUAAAUUAUUGUCAUAAAAAAAAUAAAGAAUUGAGGUAAGAAAUUCAGAGAAAGUGAACUCAUGAAAGUAUAAAUUUCCAAUAACCUUUAUUUAAGGUUAUAAUCGUAAUGAGUACAAUAAAUUAUUCUCUAGAUUUAUUACAACGGAUAAAUUGGUAUUAAAAAACAAUAGGGAUACUAUAGAAAACAUAGAUCUUGAGAAUAAAACUACAUACUUUGAUUCAGAUGUUCCUGGAUCGAUUUCGGUUGAUAUAGAUAACUCCAAAGUAGUAAUGAAUCUCAUAAACACCAUGAUCUUCAGUCCGAUGACUCUUCCUUGUGUUGAUGAUGGAGAUCUCAAGGGUGGAGGUUAGGGUUCUCUCUUUAGAUUGAAGGGGAGAAAGACAAGACAUAAAAACCUUUACCCCUAAAGGGGUAUUUGUAGGUUUCUUACUAGGCUUAAGUGCCUUAAGCCCACCAUGGACUUGGGUUACUUAAUCUAGCCUAAAAAAGGUUGCUAAUUGAUUAAUUAACCAUACAAUACCCUAAUCAAUCAAUUAACCCAGUCCAAAGAUACUACUCACUUAUCCUUGUGCAAUCUUAUGUAAUUACCAAAAUACCCUUAUACAUAAAGUGAACUAAAAACACAUUCAAUCCUUAUAAACCGCGUCAUCAAGGAAUAUGAGCUUAGAAAGGGGGCCAUUGAGACCCAUAGGAGUACUAGCUCCCUUACAAUUAAAUUUUGAAAUUGACUCAAUAUCCUACUAUAGAGAGUCAACUACACUCCAGUACCCUAUCUAUAUUACAACGAGACACCAAGUACUCUAGUUCAUGACUUACUAUCCAUUACAUACAGGCUCCCUAUGAACUAGUCCAUAAUCUAACAAGGUAGUGUUAUCACUUAUUAAGAUUACCUAUCAAAUCUUUUAGUUAUAGAUCUCACUUAUUCUAUGAUCAAAUGAUAUACUCUAACUUUAAGGAGCAUAUGUCAAAUUCCAUUAAAGGAAUUAUUAUGUCCACAAAUUUCAAGAUCAUUGGCAUUUGGAUCACCCAAUGGGAUACACUAUUUCAAUCCCAUGAGAAAUCAUGGUGCCUCUAUUGAGAAUACCUGUUGCCACUAGCCUCCAUCAAGAGUGAUCCAAUCCAUAGGGAUAUAUAACCACUUUAGGGUUUUACCUAUAGGUCAAAGCCUCUUGUUGAUUUUGGCAUAGACUCAAUAUCCUCUCAAGGUUGAAAGUUCAUGUAAUACAAUAGCUUGGUGAAUUAAGACAAUUGGUAGUCUUACCAUGAUUCACCCUAAGUUUUGUUCAGUGUGCAUUAGAUACACUAGUGCACUCACCAUGGGAAACUCAUCUCGACAGUUAAGACAAGUCAUCCCUCAAAUUAGGAGGUAGUGCACUACGAUCUCUACUAGAUUACCCAAAUCCAUGAACCAAUUGUGGACAACUUAUCUACUUACAAAGAACCCAUGACUUGUAUAUUCUGUGCAACUCCUAAUGCACCUAAGUCAUGUAUAAUGUAAGAGACAUAAACUGAAUACUCAAAUCAAUGUCAAUACACCAAAAGGAUAGCAAGAUGAUAGCUAAGUUUAACUUUGUUACACUAUAUCUUGGUUUCAAGGGCUCAAUCCCAACAAACUCCCACUAGUCCUAAAAACAAACUAGGCAACGUAGAAAAAAUUAUGCUUCAUAGUCUCAUCACCUCUCAAUACUAUAUCACAAUAAGGUAACACUUUUUCUUUAUGUGUUUUCUCUUUUAAUGGUACUUUAGUUCUUUAGACCAUGCCACUGUCCCAUUGUUAUCACAUAUCAGGAUCCUAGACAAUAUAGCUAAGGGAACUAGCCAUAAGCCAAAAGGCUUCCUUUGUUGCUAUAGAAAUAACAAAAAACCAUUUAAAGUAUACACAUACUUAGAGGUAGACAUACGAGAGUUCCUAUCAAAUUGAAGUUCAAUUUCUCGGUAAGAAAGGAGUACCAACUCAUCGCAAAGACUCACAAACAUAUAAGCCUUUAUUCUUUAAAGAUACUAGAGUAUAUGUUUGACAUCUGCCCAAAUCUCUAAUAAGGAAAUUGACCAAUAUCCACUCAUUAUUCCUAUAACAAAACAAAUAUCUGGUCUAACACAUAGUAUUGCAUACUUAAGGCUACCCAUUACAAAGGCAUUGAAUAUCGCCUUAAUGCUAUCUUUCUCCAUAGAUAUCCAAGGACAUUGAUCCUAAGAAAGACAACUCCAAAUCUAAAGAGUAAUAAACAUUCCUAGAGUUUUGCUUCAUGUACUUGACCAAACGCUUAUCUAUGUAGGUGACAUGACACAUUUUUCCUACUCUUGCAGUCUUAAAAGACCUUAGCCCCAAGGAUAUAUUGCGUCUUCCUCUAAAUUUUCAUCUAGAACUGAGUAAACUACUAGAUCUUAAUUGAUGACAAUAUUUCUAUAUCAUAUCCAAUGAGUAUAUUGUUAUCUACCUACAAGAUCUUAGAGUAUCACCACUCUUCCUUGUACCUUCUUAUACACACAAGACCCUUUGUUAUGAAAAUGUUUAGUUGUUGUAUCUUACAAACGAGACACACUGCAAUAGAUAUGAGUAAUCUAAUGGAUUUGAGUAUGACCACUGUUAAAAAGGUUUCCCAUAGUUGAAAGAAAGUUUCAAACUAUAACCUUUUGCUAUAGUCUUAACCACAUAAAACUCAAGCUUUCCAUCUACUUCUGUGUUCCUCUUGUAGACCAACUUACACCUAUAGGUUUUAUCCUCUUUAAGUGCUUCUAUAGAAAUCCAACCUAUGUUAGAACUACCUCUUCAUAACUCCUUACCUUAAGUGAGGACAAACACUGUUCACCACUUCAUCAUAAUCUAUAAGAUAUGAACCUCCCACUAUGAUGAGGCACUAGUGUAUUAGAAAUAAUGGGAAUGGUAUGUUUUGAAACCUCUGGAUCCAUAGUAUCCUAUGCAAUGUGGGAUUAUCUUAUAAUAUAUCCUCCAAUAUGUAUCACUUUUUGCCUUUUUCCUUAUCAUAUAGUCUUCAUAAAAAAUAUGACAUUUGUGUCAAGAAAUAUCUUUUGGUGAUCUCGACUAUAAAGGUAAUAACCCAAAAAUCCUCCUAAAUAUCCUAUAAACUAAUAUACCUCUUAAGAAAAAGAGGUAUUACACAGUGUAUAAGACAUAUCCCUAAAAGAAUUCGGAAAAAUAUGAAAAACCUAUCCACGAUCUCACUAGGACCAACCAAGUUUGAUAUCUUCUAUCCACUUCUCCAUUUUGUAAUAGAGACCCUGGUGCACAUGCCUAGGAAAUAAUCUCGUGCUCCAAUGAAAAGAAUUAAACUUAUUAGACAUAUCACCUUGAUCUAAUCGAAGUGACUUGGUAUUUAUAUCCAAUAGGUUAUCUGAUCCUACCUUAAAUUCAAUGAAUAUAUCUAAGGCAUCGAAUUUCCUAUGUAAAUAUCCAAACCUAGAGUAAUCAUCACUAAAAGUGAUAAAAUACCCAUACCCUUCCCAUGCAUGGACACUAAAAGUUCCAUACAUGCUAGUAUGCACUAACUCCAAACAUUCCUUGGCUCUAGUCCACUUGGUCAUUUUUCCAUCUAUAUAGGAUUCAUAGACUGAAAGAUCUUCUAGAAUCAAAGAGUCCAGACUUUACUAGUCUUUGGAUCUUAUUUAGAUUAAUAUGACCUAGGUUUAGAAACCAAAUGUUUAAUUAGUGCUAGGUUUAAUAAUGAGAUUUAACUAUUCUCAUCACUUGACAAAGUAAUAAUGGAAUACAUAUAAAAGACGAGAAUAUUACCUUUCACUAGUCUGCAUAGCUAACCUUGCAUUUGAAGCUAAGUUAAAUAUAAUCCAUCAUUUAACCUUCUCACUUGUUGAAUAUUCUAUAAGGACUUAUAAACAAUGGGCCUGGAAUCUAUCUACCAUAAAUGGUGAAAUCUACCACUAAAUAUUCAAUAACGAGAAAAUGAUGUAUGCUUUCCUUGUUCCUUAAUGUAAAUUGGGCAUUCCUUUUCUAGAGUCCUAAAAUGUCAUAAAGGAAUCACUUUCCUUUGAGCUUGCUCUCUUAUUCUUUCUCUCUAACUUUCCUUAUUUGGUGUUAUUCUUCAUUUUCUUGAGAGAAGAACCUAAAGAACCUUUGACUUUCAUAUGUACACUCUAUAAUUUUUAAUAAUCCCUUUAGCCAUCCCGAAGGAAAAUGACAAGGUCUCUAAGAUCAUAUAUAUGAAUACUAGUGUUCAUAACAGUCCUAAAAGUAGCUUGUCAAUGUUGUCCUACCAUUAUCAUCAUUCCAAACUAGAAAGUGUAUAUGAAAGUCUUUAGUAAUAGAGAUAUGUUGCUAUUGCAACACAUUAUCCAAAGAUCCAAGUGUUACACACUUGGUCUUCUAAUACAACCUUGAGAUACCACUCUUUCCUUUUGCUAGGUUAGUUCAUAAGGAAUAGUUAGCUCUACCUAAACUAGCUUCUAUGUAAUUACUUGUUAUAUCCAUAAUGAAAUUAGUCUAAUUAAUUAGUUGGGCUUGGCUUAUUGUGAGAAAGAGAGUGAUAAUAUAACCAACAUGAUAUCUGUAAAAAAGAAUAUAAUCAAGCAUAUGACAUAAUUUAGCAUUUAUGGGAAUUGGUAAUAAAUUUAGCAAAAAUGUAGUGUUCUCAAACUACAUGUCAUUUUGUAUAUUAGUAUCAUAAAAAUCAAGUCUACCUUAUUAAUAGUUAAAGACCUUCUUAGAUUGAUCUCAUUGCCUUAAGUAUAAAGGUAUCUAAAGGCAUGAUCAACAUACUUUUUAUUUGGCCUAUGGACUAUGCAAGUAGGACCGUGUGAAGCUAUUCUACCACUUCAUAUCCAAUGUCAAGUUGUGGACCCACAUUUUCCAUGUGCGUUCCCACUCAAACGGCUAGACUUGUUUUUUUUUUAUUUAUUAUUAUUAUUAUGAAAAAUUGAUUUUUUGAAAAAGACUUGGAGUUGUAACUUAUUUUUGUUUUAUUUUUUAAAAGGGGAAACAAAAUAAGAAAAAAAAAAGUCCUAUGUGAAUCUUUAUUUGGAAAAGACGUGUAUGCAAAAACUGAGUUUGAAUUUGGGAAUCAAGUUACCUAUCAGGAAGGUACGGUAGUGUGUCAUAGCACCCCUCUAAGAUUGUAUACAUACGACCUCUACUAAAUGAAUGAAGGGAAUUGUGACAAUUAAUUAAUUGAUCAUGGAUACCGAGAAAAAGAACCACAAAUAAAUAUAUACAAAUCAUUGCGAAAAUCAAUAUAUACAAAAAUAAUGAUGAAAUCAAAAUACAAGUAUAUACAAAAUAAAUGACAAAGAGAUUAUGCAAAUCGAUUUAUUGAACUAAUUAAAAAAAUAUAUUCAAAAAAAUUAUUUUUUAAAGACAUUUCAAAGGAUUUUAUUAAAAAAAAAAGAAACAAUUUUGAAUUAAUGAUUUCAAUUUAAUUAUUUACAAAAAAAAAGUGUCAAUUUAUUUUCAAUAAAUGCUUUGAUUCAACUUUAUUUGUUUUCAAUUUUUAAAAAGAGUUAUUUACCCUUAUUGUAUCAAAAGAACUUAUUACAAAAUUUCAAUUUGGUAACAAAUUUUUACUUGUUUUUACUAGAAAUGAAUGAAUUUUUACAACUAUAUUUACAAAAGUAUCUUAGUUUGAUUUUUCAUUUAAGAAAAGUGAUUUAUACAAAUUAUUUAUAAUAAAUAAAUAACUUUAUUUGCAAAAGAUUUUUUUUUUUUAAAAAAAAGAAAAGACUUUUAUAGGUUUAUUUACAAAAAUGUUAAAAUUCAAUCCAAUUUUAAUCGAAAAGUGAAUUUUCACAAAAUUAUUUACAAAAGUGUCUUAACCCCUUUUUUAUUUAUAAAAAAUAAUUUAUUAUUUGGUUUCAUUAAAAAAAAUUUAUUGAAAAAGAGAUUUUAUCUUUAUUUGAUUUAAAGGUAAGUUAUUCAAUUUUAUUAGAACUUAAAAAAAUAAAAUAAAAUAAAAUAAGUCUUAAAGAUUUGAACUUUACAAAUAAAUAAAUAAAUACCAAAGUUAAAGAAAAUCAUUUUUUCAUAUUUUAUUCACAAAAGCAUUCCAAUUUGAUUUUUGUUUUCUUUUAAAAGGAUUUUUUUUAAGAAAAAAAGGAAAUUUACAUUUUCACAAUUUUAUUUGAAAAGAAUUUAAUUUAUUUUUAUCAUUAAAAAUAAACAAGUAAAAAUAAGUAAAUAAAUAAAUAAAUAUGCUUAUAAAUUGCUUAGAAGAUUCAUGAAGAUUUUUUUUUUUUUUAAAUAAUUUUGUCUAAAAAAAAUUACAAUUUUAUUUGCUUAAAUAAAAAUAAAAUUAAAAGCUAAAAAGAAGAUUUUUUUUUGAAUUUUAUUUCAAAAAUAGAUUUAUCUUAAAAAUAACAUAAAAUUAUGAGUUUGUCUAAAAGAUUGAAUUUUUACAAACCUUUACUAAAGACAAAUUUUUACAAUUUUAUUUAAAAGGAAAUUUUCCUUUAAAAAAAAAAUGAAGAAAAAUCUGCACAAGUUUUAUUAAAAAAAAAAAAAUUGUUCAUAAAGAAAAUAUUAUUCCAAUCUUAAUUUUAUUUAAGGGAGAUCUUUACAAAUUAUUUGGAAAAAGUACAUUUACAAAAUUAUGUACAAAGUAGGUAUUUAUUUAGGGAUGAUUAUUUACUUGACUUUUAUUGAAAAGGAAUAAAAUAAUAAUAAUAAUAAUAAUAAUAAUAUCUAAAAAAGGAUUUUACCUAACUUUAAAAAGAUAUUUUUUAAAAACUUUAUUUAAAGAGAUAACUUUGCCUAAGAUAAUAACAAUAAUAAUAAUAGAAUAAAAUUAUGACUUUAAGGGUUGAAUUUUUUAUUUACUUUUAAUAAAGAUAGAUUUUUGUAAUUUUAUUUAGUGAUAACAAUAAAUCAGGCUCCACCAACUUCUACCCAUGCCAAUACCUUGCUUCAACCACCCCAACUACUCAUAUUUUGCUCUUCCCACUCUCAACACAAUGACAAAAGACAACCUAAUCGUAAGAAAACCCAAUAUGAAUGAACUUCAAUAACCCAAAUCAAUAAUGCAUAAAGCCAAAUACAAAACAAUAACCCGAACAACAAAGCCUAAAUAGAACAAAUACAUCAAACACAAGUCCAAUUAAAUGAAAUUCGAGCCUAAAUUCGUAAAUGAAUAUUGUAGAAAUUAAAUAACAUAACAUAAAAUAAAAGUAAAAAAUAAAAGAAACAAAAUAAAAUUAAAUUAAAACUUACCUAUCUCCCAAAGCCGUGUAUAGAGAUGUAGCAACAAUGGGAGAUCGGUAGCCAUGGGGAGCGAAAAAUGAGAUAGAGGCACGCCUAUGGCGAGACAUAAAGGACAAUAAAAGAAAAAAAAAGGAAGAGAAGGAAUAAUAUAAAAAAUAAAUAAAAGAUAAGAAAAAGAGAUAUGCGGGAUGAAGUGGCCGGAGAAAGGUCAACGAUUGUGGGGUUGUCGGUGAUUAGUUGCCAUCGGCGAUGACCGUGGGCCAAUGCUCCCGCCAUUGGAGAUGCUGUGGACGAGAAAUAAGAAAGGACAGAGAAUAAAAAUAAAGAGAAAAGAAAGAGGAAAGAAAAAGAAUGGGAAAAAAAUAAUAAUCAAGGAUCAGUGAGUGGAGAAGAGAAUAUGGGAGAAAGGAAGAAGAUAAAAGAAAGUGGGAGAAAGGAAAGGGAAAGGUGAGGUGGCAGGUAUGGAGAGGAGAGAGAGAAGUUAAGGAUUUAGGGUUUUUUUUUUUAAAGAAAAAAAAAAAGAAAAUGGAUGGUAGGGAUGGGGUCUAGAGAUGAACGACCAGUAUUGGUUCUCUAAAGUAAGAAAUGGGCUUGGAACUUUGGCCCAAAAUGCAAAACAAAAAGGCCCACCAAAUUUAGGGGUCUACACAAGUGUAUAACCAUUAUCCUCGAACUAUCAUUGUCACCAAAUAAAGAACCCCACCAUGGGGGUGGUCACUCUCACUAUAGAUAUAUCUAGUUUUCUAUACACAAUUCCAAUUAAUAAAUAUUUUAUUUAGGAAAUGUUUCAAAGAAAUUUAUUUCCAUCAAAUUACUAAAUCUUUUGGUAGUAAUAUUUUAAUGAUAAAUUAUUUCUAAUGAAAAUUUUCAAAACAUUUAUUUUCCAAAAUGGAGACACUUGUAUAAUAAGGAAAUUGCCAAUUUAUGAGAUUUUGAAUAAUCUUGAGAGCACCUUAUCUAGGAAAGGAAUUUUUGCUUCUUAUAUUUAAAAAUCCUCAUAAGAUUAACUUUUCUUAUUCCUUACACUUUUCUAAUUUAAUAAAUAUUUCCAUGGAAAUUUCAUAAUAAUUUAUUCCAUUAAAUACUACCAAAAAUAGAACCUUUUAAUAAUUCCUUAAUAGAUAAAAUAUUCUCUAUGAAAAACUACCAAAAAUGUUUAUUUCCAAAAAUGAAUUAAGCAAUCCUUUUUCAAAAGUAUUUUCAAAAUAUUUUAUAUCUCCAUUAAAUUACUAAAACUUUCCAAAGUUAUUUUGGUAACCCUUCUUAUUAUAAAUUCUCGAUCAUAAGAUUUUUCAAAUCUAUUAUUUACUUUUAAACUGAGACUCCUGUGUUAAAAGAAUUGUUCUCUUAUUUUUUAUCAUUAAACUAUCCAAACGAAAUGGUUUUCUUCUUCUCUCUAGUGGGGAGAGCUUGGAUGACCAACCAUAGGUAUAUUUUUCCUUCUUUCACCGAGAAAUAACAAAAAAACCACCUAAAGUUUAAUAAACAGAUAAUCAUAAAGAAAUAACAAUCUUCUUAGCAACAACCAGCUUAAAUAGAUAAUCUUAAAAAAAUAUCUUCUCAUGAAAAUUUAAGAAGAAUACCAAAAAACUUUUCUUUGUGUUCUAAUACUUAUUUUGGUAACCAUUCUUAAUUAUAGAUUAUCCAUUAUGAAUUUUCAAAUUAACUUAUUUUUUUAAAAUUGGAAAUAGGAAAAAUACUAUUUUAUAAAGAUAUGAAAAAAUAAGAGUUUUUCCUUAAAAAAAAAAAAAAAUUAUUCUUAGAGAUCUCAAAGAUUUGAGAAUAUUUUAAAAAGGUAAGAAAGCUCUCAAUCGUUUUUCCAACUUAUCUUUUCUUUAAAAUAAAAAUUCCUAACCAUGCACAAUCCAAUUUAAAUAAGUUUUCCAAUUUUUUUUUUUAAAAACAUAAAAAUUUAUUUCCAAUUAAGAAUACCAAAAUAUCUUGAGGCCACAUAUGCAAUUAAUCAAAAGCAUAUAAUAAAAACAAGGGAAUAAAAAAAAUAAAAACUUUUCUCAUAGCCUUUAGGGAUCUUGUUGCAUAUUUGAUAAUUAAAAUUUGGAUAAAAUCCAAAUUACCAAAAAUAGUCCUACAACCAAAAAUAAGGUUACUGAAAAUAGAAAACCCAAAAGGCCCAAUUGCCACCAAAAUGAGCCCAAAAGGAGAGGAAUCAAAUUUAGUCUGAAAAACCAAAAAGAAUUGGACUCGUAUGCAAUCCUGUAACAACAUGCUCUUUGUGCAACAUUGCUUCAAUGGACUAUAUCUCCCUUGUUUCAACUCCAAAUUGCAAUUUGCUUGAACCAUUGGAUUCGUGACCUCCUAAGAUUCAAAUUCAUAUGUGGCCUGCCCCAAGAAACUACUAGGAGAUAGUUGUGAUUUUGAGUUUAAGUUAACGUCAUUGUGUUGCCAUGGAUCUCAAACCAAGAACUUCCAAGAAAGCUUCUUUUUUCUUUAGCUACCAUAGAAUCUCAAAAGGAACUUUCAAGAUUCCUUCUUUUCUCUUGGGUCACAUAAUCAGGAAUGGAUAUAAAAAAGGCUACUAGGCUCCUUUCUUUCUUAUCACAUCCAACCCUUAUCGAUAGCCCCCACUAGGACAUUCAAGUAAGUCGGGUUUUGAUCUGAUUCCAAAAUGAGGCAGUGUUACCAAUGACUCGAUACCCCGCUGCUACUGAAUGAAGUUCGUCCUUCUCUCAUUUCCCUAUAAUAAGAUGUUGACCUCCGUAGAUAAAUGCCCCAUAUAACCUCUCAUCUCCGGGGUUGGGUUGAAAGAACAAUCAAACUGGGUUAAGAGAAGUUUAUGAAUCGAGUGAAAAUGAAAAAUAAAAAUCGUAAAUAAAAAUGGGCCAAGUGUGUGAUGCAAAAACUGAAAAUUUUACAACAAUUAAAAAAAAUAAAAAAUCCUAUGCUCUUUUAAUGGAGUUUGCAACCCAUCUAUUGAAAAGAAAAGAUUUUUACAAUAAAAUAAAAAUCUUAUACCCCUUAUGGGGUGUACAACCCAAUCUAGAGAAUCAAAAGGCAUAAAUCAUAUCCAUUUAUAUUCCUUCAAAUGAAUAAAUAAUAAUCCAUCACAAUUAUAAUCAUAAUCAUCGUAUUGACAUUCAUUCAAUUGAACAAAUAAAUGUAUCCCAUUCAUUCAUCUAUUUAGACCAUGGGAUGAAUAAAACAACCCUGUAAAAUAUAGUGAACACACCUUAGAACAGAUCUAACAUGCUAAAACCUACCCUAGGGUUCUGAUACUAGUUGUUGGGAACCUCAAAUUACUCUAUUCCCAUGCCCUAGAUCACGUAGGGUGCGUGCAAAUAUAUCAUAGGCUCUUUAAAUCUAUCACAACAAAUAAAUUGGUAUUAAAAAACAAUAAGGAUACCAUAGAAAAACAUAAAUAUAGAGAAUAAAGCCACAUACCCUUGAUUUGGUUGUUCUCGGAUCAAUUCUAAUCGAUGUAGAUAGCUCCAAAGUCAUAAUGUAUCUUGUAAACAUUAUGAUCUUCUACCCGACAACUCUUCCUUGUGUCUAGGCAUUAAGAUGGUGGAGAUAUCAAGGGUAGAGUCUAGGGUUCUCUUUCUAAACUAAAGGGGAGAAUGACAAGACAUAAAAACCAUAACUCCUAAAGGGGUAUUUAUAGGCUUCCUACUAGGCUUAAGUGACUUAAGCCCACCAUGGGCUUGGGUCACUUAAUCUAGCCCAAAAAAUGUUGCUAAUUGAUUAAUUAACCAUACAAGACCCUAAUUUAUUAAUUAGCUUAGUCCAAAGAUACCACUCACUUAUCCCUAUGCAACCUUGUGUAAUAAAUAAAAUGCUCUUAUGCAUAAAAGUGAACAAAAACUCAUCUAACCUUCAUAAACUGUGCCAUCAAGGAAUAUGAGCUCAGAGUGGGGAUUAUUAGAACCCAUGUGAGUAUUAGCUCCUUCAAAAUCAAAUUCUGAAAUUGAUUCAAUAUCCCACUAUAGAAAGUUAAUUGCACUCUAGUACCCUAUGUAUAUUACAACGAGACACCAAGUGCUCAGGUUCGUGAUCUACUAUCUACUGUAUGCAGACUCCCCAUGAACUAGCGUCUGUAAUCUAACAAGAUAGUAUUAUUACCUCUCAAAUUCUUGAGUUAUAGAUUCCACUUAUUAUGUGAUCAAAUAACAUACUCUAAUUCCAAGGAGCACAUGUCAAAUCCUACUAAAGGAAUUACUGUGGUCACAGAUUUCAUGAUCACAUGUCCUUUGAAUCACCCAAUGAGACACAUUGCCUCAAUCUCAUAAGAUAUCGUGGUGCUUUUAUUGAGAAUACUUGUUGCCACUAGCCUUCAUCAAUAGUUACCCAAUCCAUAGAGAUAUAUGACCACUUUAGGGCCUCACCUAUAGAUCAAAACCCCUUGUUGAUUUUAGAAUAGGCUCAAAAUCCUCUCAAGGUUGAGAGUCCAUGUAGCAUAGUAGCUUGAUGAAUCAUGACAAUUGAUAGCCUUGCAUCAUGAUUCACCAUAUGUUUUAUCCAAUGUGCAUAUACUCACCAUGAGAAACACAUAUUGACGGCCAAGACAAGUUAUCCCUCUAAUUAGGAGGUGGCGUACUACAGUCUCUACGAGAUUGUCCAAAUCUAUGAACCAAUUAUAGACAACUUAUCUACUUAGAAGGAACCCAUGAAUUUUAUUUUCCGUGCAACUCCAAAUGUACUCAAGUCAUGUACAAUGUAAGAUUUAUGGAUUGAAUGCUCAAAUCAAUGUCAAUAUAACAUGAAUUGUUACAACAUGUCUUGUUUUUAGGGGUUCAAUCCUAACAAGUAUUACUUUCAUACACUCUUUCUCCUUAAGUAUCUUAAGACAUUGAUCUUGAGAAAAAAGAACUCUAUGUCUAAAGGGUAGAAAACCCUUUUUGGAAUCUUGCAUAGCAUAUGACUCAAGUGGGUUGAGAUAGUGUAAACUUCCUAUUCUUACAAUCUCUUAAGACCUUAAUCCAAGGAAUAAACUAUGUUUCUUUAGAUUUUUCAUCUGAAACUGAGUAGAAAACUAUAUCUUGGUUGAUGAUAAUAACCUUAUAUCAUUCCAAAUGAGUAAAAUAUCAUCAAAAUAUAGGAUCAUAAAGACCAUCAUGCUUCUUUACACAUUCCUAUACACACAACGUUCAUUUUUCAUUUUGAUGAAAGUCAAACGUUUUGAUGAAAGUCAAAAGUUUUGACCGCCUAAUCAAAAUGCUUAUACAGUGAGCAAGAUACUUGCUUUAAUCCAUAAAUGGAUUUCUGCAACUUGCACACCAAACACUUUUGGUAUUUUACUAUGAAACCAUAUAGUUGCAUCAUCUAAAUGGUCUUACUAAGAUAGUCAUUUAAGAAUGCUUUCUUGACAUCUAAUUUGUUUGUCUCAUAAUUGAGAUGUGUUGUAAUGAAUAGGAGUAUUCUUAUGGAUUUGAGAAUGGUGGCUAGUAAAAAAGUCUCUUUAUAGUCAAAACCAAAUUUUUUACUAUAAUUAAGUCUAACCUUUCCAUCUACUCCUUUCUUCCUCAAAUAGACCCACUUGCACCCUAUGGCUUUUAUGCCUUUAGGUGCUUCUACAAGCUUCCAAACUAUGUUAGAAUGCAUGGAUUCUAAUUUUGUAUCCAUAGCUCUUAGCCAAAAAGAUGCAUCAACAUCGCUCAUUGCUUCAUCAUAAUCUAUGAGAUAAAUCUCAUAUUCUUAUGAAAUUAUCUCAAAAGACUUAUCCUAAUACAUUAAUCGGUCAAGUUAUACAAAACCCCUACUAUGACGAGGCAUUAGUAUACUAAAAAUGUUAGAAGUGGUCGGUACUAUAUCCAUAGUAUUUUGUGCUAUUGUGGGAGUGUCAUCUAAUACUCUUCAAUCAAUAUUACUCCUAAACUUAUUACUUAUCAUAUAUUCUUCUUUAAGAAAUCUAGCAUUUGUACUCACAAAUACUUUUUAAUCAAUUUGAGUAUAAAAGUAAUGGCCUGUCUACCCAAUUCUUCCCUGGAGGAGAUUCGCAAUAACACCAUGGAAUUGACCAAGGAUUUGGUCCAUUCAAAUCUCUCUUCAACUUGCUCAACCAUGUAAGGCUCUAAGUUUUCUUGGGAAACUUCUACCAGAAGAUUUUUUCCAAUCAAUUAAGACAUUUGUAGUGGUGUUUGGAAUUUGAAAAUAGAUGCAUCAUAGAGAGUGAAGAUAGUGAGAACUGAUUUUGUUUAUCUUGGAUCAACACACUUUAAUGUCCUAUUGUUUGCCUUCUAUAAGGAUCCUAUCUAUGAGACUGUUGAACAAGGACUUGCUUUAGUCCUCCAUGGUUAGGAAGAUCUAAAUAUUUAUCAUGUUAGGAGAAUUCAAUGCUAAAACUUUUCCAAAUGAUGGCUCCAUUUUUUUUGGGGUUCUAAAAUCAAGAAGAAAAAAAAUAAUUAUUGAUUUAUUUCACUUUUUGAUAUAUAAAGAGUGGACAUGCUCAUCAUUUUUAUCAAUGACAAUCUUUAAAUAGGCCGCCUGGAGAUCAUUGUGGUAGAUUCAGUAGGUAAUAUUGUCGUGUUAAUCUGUCAAUUUAUGUAUAGCUAUCAUUGCCUCUUAAGGCGUUGAUGUCAUUUAGCUGCAAAGCUUGAAACCUUGUUUAGCCAUAGAAUUUCCCAUCAUAACUAUGACCUAACGUGGAAUUUAUAUUUUAUGCAAUUUUUUUCUUAUUCAAAGAUGUUUAAUAAAUUAUUCUUAUUACCUAUUAAAAUAAGGGGAAAUUAUGUUUUGGGAGGCCCAUUUGAAGGUAAUAUGCAAAUCAAACCCAAAGAAACUGGAAUAUAGGCUUUGUCCGUUAAUGACCAAAUUAUUAUUCUUUUUGUGCACUAUAUAUUGUUUCGGUGAGCUAUUCCAAAAUUGCCCUUUAGUUUUCCCUGUCAGCAACCACCGCGGUCUCCAUGUCAACAGCCACCGCACAAUUUAAUAAACAUUGAAAUGUCAACCGAUCUCCAUGUCAGCAGGCUGGUGUGCAAUUUUAGAAACAUUAAAAUGUGAAUAAUGAAGUUAUGAAGUCUGAAACCCACAAAGCACCCCGACCCAACAAACAUUUGAAACUUGAAGUUAUCUUUGUCACUUUCUAUCGUUUUGCCCUAACCAGAUCUUAGAAAAUUUCCAUUUUCAUAGCUCUUUUGAUACAUCCGAUUUGUUUAUUGAGAUCUUGAGCAGGCGAUCAAUACCCAUAUUUUGAAAGCCGGCUUCAUUUGAUUCUGCCCUAACCCUAGUGUGUCUCUUUACUAGUUGACGACCCAAACCCGAUAGGUUUUUUCCGAAAACCUUCAAGGAAGCCAAAAUCGAGGCAGAUCUUCGUAUUUCUUCAUCAAAUGUUGAUUUUUUAAAGGUUUAUGGAAACCGAAGUGGAGUUUCCUCAAUCAAUAACAGGUGAGUUUUCCAUUUAAGCAUUCGUUUGGGUGUUGAGAACAUAUUAGGGUUGAAGGUGUUAACAUGAGCAUCAGAAAAGAAACUAGUUUAAUAAUAGAUUGAGCAUCAGAAAAAAGGCCGGCUUUGGUACUUUGUUUUAGCUGUGAUUUUUUUUUUUUACUUUUUGAUGGGUAUUGUGAGGUUUUCUAUGUCAAUUGUUGGUUGGUUUAAGCAUUUGGGUCUUUUAGAUUUUGAGCAUUAACUUUUGGGUUGUCCACUGAUUAGGUUUUUAUCUCAUUUCAAAAUUGAAUUUGAGGUGUUUUUACUGUUUUGAGUAUCAAUUAUACUGGUAGGAGGUGAGCAAAAAAUCAUUAUAAAGUAAAGUUUUUGUAUACUGUGAUGUGGAUUUUUUUUUCGGGGUCGUGCGUUGGCUGGUUAAGCAUUUAGGUCUUUCAAAUUUUGAGCAUUGAUUGUUGAGGUGUCCAACAACUUGGCUUUUAUAUCGUUCCAUAAGUGAAUUUUGAGGUAUUUUGCCAUUUCAUGAUAUUGAUCAUCCUUGUAGUAACUGAGUAGAAAAUGAAUAUAAAUUAAAGGUUUUAUGUGGUGUGUUGUUGAUUUCAUUAUUGGGUAUUGAUUUUUAUUUGGUUUAAGAAUAUGGGUUUUCAUAUUUUGAGCAUUGAAAGUUUUGUUGUCCAAUGGCUUUGCUUCCACCCUAUUUUAGUAGUGAAAUUUGAUUUUUUUUUUGCUUCUUUUAGUGUUGAUUAUGAUGGUGGUAGGUGAGCAAGAAAUAAGUCAUUGAGUAUAAAUCAAAGGUUCUCUCUAAUGUAUUAUUGAUUUAUUUUUUUGGUGUUGAUUGCUGGCUGAUUUAUCAUUUGGGGAUUCCAUAUUUUGAGUACUGAUUGUUGGGUUGUCCAACGAUCUGGAUUUAAUCUGGUGUUAGAAGUGAAUUUUGAGGUGUCUCAUUUUAGUAUUGAUUAUACUGUUGUUCAAUGAGCAAGAAACGAGUAUAAAUUAAUAUACUGAAAAAAUCAUAUUAGUUUAAGUGCUUGUGUAAUACAUGCAUAAUAAAUCUAAAUCUAGAAGAUGAAAUCUUGAAUUAGAAUUCCCAGGAUGGAUGAGCUAACAUGUUAUAUCUUGAUAUCUAGACCUACAAUGAGAGAAGGAAUGCAAUAUUUUAUCGAAAAAUUAAAUCCAUUAUAGAAUAGGUUUAUGGAUCUUAAUUAAAUAUGGAUGAUCAAAACAAACUAUUUUACAAAAAUCAGUGAUGAUCAAACCUCACUUUAUUUUCCCAAUGCAACAAAACCAAGCAAAGUUGUGAAUUCAUAAUUUCGGUUUUCCAUAAAUAAAAUAGGAAUCAACGAAUGGUAUCAUUUCAAGUCAUAUAAUUACUGGUAGACCUACAUUGUGAAAGGUCUGCUUGCAUUGUAAAGAAGCCUAGAUUGAAAAAAAAAUUUAUAAAUAAAAAAGUAUACAUACUCACACCUAGAUUUUUAAUUUCAAGUUUUAUUUGUAAUGUGCUAUUUAGGGUUUUGUUUAUUUAUUUCAUUUGUUUUAAAGCUUCAAUUUGCAUAAUGUCUUCUCUUUAUGAAUUGUGAUUAGGUAAAGUAUUUGAUAACUCUUGUUGAAAUUUGAGUUUUAUAUUUCUUUAAUGUUCCAUGUGAGAGUUUGAGCAUCAUGCCACUUAAAAUUUUUUGAAGUGAUCAGCAUGAUUUUGUAAAGUAUAUUACUGUUUAUUUUACUUUUUCUCUCCUUAAUUGCUAAGGGACUAGCAAUAUGUCGGUUGGGGGGAGUGAUUACUACUCAAAAAGUGUUAUUUUGUACCUUGUAAUUAACUCUUUUAAACACUUUUGAGUAGUAGUUAUUACCUUUUAACUCAAUUAGCAUAUUAAGUACCUUUGCAAUCGUUUCUAAUCAAAUUGUGUAAGUUUUGGUGUUUUUGAUAGUAUUUUGAUCACCAAAGAAAUCCAAGAUUGAGGAGAAUUCUAUGGAAUCCAUGGCAAAGCAAUUGGAAGCUCAUUAACAUAAAGAAUCUAAGCUUUGAAGUUUUAUAGUCCUUUGCCAUAAGCAAAUCAUGAAUGCAAGGAGAGAAAGCAAAGAGAGAAAUCUAACAUGAAGAAUUCAAGAAGAUAGCAACUGUUGGACACUUUUGGAGCACUUCCUGGAGCCCAUUUGAUGCAUAAUAUAUGUCGUUUUGAAGCUCGGGAAGUCAGCAAUCCAACGCUUUAAACGGUACAUGAAUCGGAGUUGAAAUGAAGAAGUUAGAGCCAUUGGAAUCCGAUCACACCAAGCUGAAGGCCAAUUUCGCAGGCUGCGAAAUCAGCCUUUGGUUGCAAAAUCACAAGAGGAUGGCUGCGAAAUCAGCCUUUGGUUGUGAAAUGGUGACCUUCAGCUUGCGAAAUUUUGCAGCCAUCUUGCAUGCUUAGGAAAUCCUCCUGAGUGCUUCCAGAUAUUUGCGACCGACACUUUUAGAUUUUUUUCUUCAGAUAUUUGAUGUUUAAAUCCCCAUUUUCUCCUUGUAAUCCACCAAUCAUAGGAUUCCUUGGUUAUUAAGUAAGAACAAAGGGUGAAUAACCUUAUAUAUAUUGUUUGUAAUUUUCAUUACACAAAACAUCUCGGGAACUUGUUCUCAGAGACAUCUUUUAUAUAGUUUUGAAGGAAGUAAAAUACAGAGCUUUGCUCUGCCUUACCUACUCAAUUUGAUUGUAUUUUUCUUUCUAUCCAAACAAGCUCUAAGGAUAUUUCCUCAGAGAAUGAGUGGCUAGACUUUUUGUCUCUUGGAGCUAAGGUAGCUGGGUAAGGUCUCGAGUGCAAGAAUUGGUAGUUUUGUUGUUUCAGCUAUUAAGGAAGAGAAAGUGUGACCCGUUAAUGGUUUCUAUGUUUUUAGUUAACUUAAAACGCCUUUAAUUCACCUAGGCCAACACUUGGUAAGGCAAGUGAUCUCCGUCCAUUGAGAUGCACUAGUUUACCUCUUGCGAGCCUUUGGGAGGUGACUCGAAGGUAGGAUUUUCUAGAAUUGCCAACACUUGGUAAGCUUUUGGACUCUAAGGAGACAUCCAUUAGUUAUCUCUUACGAGCUUGAGAAGGGAAGUCCAAGGUUAAUGAGCACUUUGAAUGGUAAAUGCUAGGUGAGAGGCACGAGCCAUUGCAAGUUGCAUCAGUGAGAGAGAUUUAGUGUUUGAAUCCAAUAACGGGAAGCAUCUGUACAACACCGAUUAGAGAAAUAACUAUAUGUUAAUUCUCUAAUGCGAGGAAAAGAUUCAAGUGACCGGAGCUUUGUUUUUGCAUGAGGAGUCUGACCCCAGUGAACCUAAAACUCCAAGGAACGCUUUUCUUCAUAAGUAAUUCCCAUUACUUUCUUUUUAGUUAGCUUAAAAUCUAUCAUUUUUCAAUCAAAGUUUAUGUUUUCUUUUGAAGCUAACCUUGAAAUGAAAAAAACACCAAUUCAACUUUGAAUUGGUAUCAGUUGUAAGUUGAAAACCCUUCCCAGUGAACGAUCCUAGAGCCACUAUGCUAUAUUAGCUAAGGCUAUCCUAGUGCAUGGUGAUAUAGGUUAUAAAUUUUGUUGAUUACUCCUGUUUGAGGACCAAACUCAAGGUACACCAGCUAGGCACGCAAUCAAUGUCAAAAUUGUUGUGAUUCAUGAUGACAGAGAUGUGUUUUUAGUUUAUUAGUACAUUACUUCGCAGGUACUUAGGUAAUUCAAACCUCUCUAGUCAUCUGGUACUUGAACUUGGGCAGCUAGAGUAUCUACAAUAUCUGUAUUUUUUCUCUUUGAUUGUUUAAUGUAGAAAGAUUGUGAUUCCUUAGUUUUUUAUUCUAUGGUUUGUCUUGCAAUAAUCUAUGGUAUGUUGAGAGAGUCAUUCGAGUUCUUUGAGUGUGGGAUGAUUGGAUAUUUCUUUAUGAACUAAGAUAUGGAAAAUCACCCUUUAAGAGUUUAGGAAUGAUGAUCUAUUAUGGAGCCUUAGGAUCCCUACAAAAUCUACUUUAAAUUUCCAGGAAAAAAAAUGUGAUUAGGGGGCUAUUAAUUCAAGAGCCCCCCAAUAGAUUAGGAUCUAAGGAACUCACACAGAGAUCUAGCAACACCCAUUCUUCUGGGUCUGAAAUGUGUUACGAUGUGUUGUGCAAUGCCACAAGAGUUUCCCAUCUAUGCGAUAUUAGAAAUAGAACUUGAGUUAUGGUUUCCUAACACCAGUGUAACUCUAAUUGUUGCUCCCAAAAAGGAGGCUACUAGUAUAACAUGCAGGAGAGUAUAUACAAAGUUUGAGUAUUUUUACCUCAAACAUCUCUACCAUGGGAAAGGUUUGGCUUUCUUUUCUUAGUUGAGUCUCAUUCUUAUUGUAAUGUUUAUUAUAAUGAAAUGAUGAAAAGAUGACAAAUAUUGUUGGGGUAAAUUGUUCAGAAAAGUGGCAGCAUGUUAUUUAAAUAUAUGAAUAUGGAACUGGAAACUCAGACUCCAAACAGGAAACAAAGGAAGGGAUAACAUUCUCUUAACAUUUAUGAUGGGCCCAUCACAUAGGGUUCCUUCUCAGUCACCCCAUUGAAAUCUAUCCAACAUAAGACACACCCUUAAUAAAAAACAAAAACAAUAAUAAAUGAAAAAAGAAAAUAAGGACAACAUAGUUUACCCUUGAACAAUGGAAUCUUUGAGAGCAUUUAGUAAGUUCUUAUAAACUUCACUAGAGAGAGUAUCAUCUAACAAAAUUGCUUUCAAUUUCUUAACUUCAAUGGAUAGGGUCAUUCAUUAUUAACUCGAUGAACGAAUUUGUUGCAUUAAACAAAUUGAUUUCAAAAAACCUAUAAUCUGGGAUGUAUUGAAAUCUUUAUCAGGAUAUGAUAGACUUUUGACUUUCGAAUGAAGGUCUAGGUAUAAACAAAUUAGGCCAAGGUUUACACCCAUAAAGUUAAUAUAGUAAGUUACGUACAUGGGAGUGAGAGUGAUAGAGUAAGUGUAAAAUAAGGAUGUCCCUCUUUGUUAUGUGGGAUCAUUUAAUUAUUAAUGUCUUCUCGAUGGUAAAAAGUAUAGUUCGAUAACGGUUGUAGGAUGUAAUUAUUUUUUUAAGAUGAUGAAGAAUGAAAGUGGAAAGAAACAUAGAAAAUGGUUUGGAGAUGAGGACAUAGGAAUGGUGGAUAGGAAGUAAGCCACCAUUCUUAUUCCUUAAGCAACUUCAUGGCAUUAGAUUAUAGAUACAAGGAUAUAUUAGGGAUUUGAUUAUAGAAAGGGGGCCUUCAUUCCCUUCUUCCACCUUUCCUCUUUGUCUUUUGUUUUGCUAAAAAAAAUUCUUACACGUUAGCUAAGCAUCACAUGCCCCGAGGAUGACCCAUUUCUGACCUCUCUCUCUAGUCCUUCUUUUUCUCUUUCCAACAUCAUUAUAUUCAUACAUAAUCAUAAUCCCUAUUUACUUUUGUUGUCGUUUUAUUUGUAACAAGUUUCUAUUUAAUUAAGGAAAUGGAAGAGGACAUGUUCUGCUACAUUCAUGAAGGCGGUCAACUAGUUAAAUGUGCUGGUGGGUCUGUAGAAUAUCAAGGUGGUCGAACCGAAUCCAUGGUUGUUAGUUGGAAUAUUUCACAUAGUGAUUUCAUUUCAAAACUGUGUGAUGAGCUGCACUUUGACUGAAGUUCUAUCAAAUUGGAAUUCACGGUCAAGUUUGACCCAUCAUGUCUACUACCGUUGCAUGAUGACGUAGUCAUACUUAAGAUGUUCAGAUUCAACGAAAUGUUUUAUCGAGUCUAUGUCUCAUCAUCAAGUGAAGUUAUUGCAGCCUAUAUAGCACUGACUAGGUACUUAUAGCCUUACCAACAUCACAUACACUUUGUCCAUUAACUUUUGAAAUAUAUGUAGAUGGAUGAAUAAUUUUUAUUUGUAGUGCCCCUACUCCUAUUGUUGGUUCAAAUUCGGCACAUGUACUUUCCUCCGAUGGUGAUCCGCCAAUGGAUAUCUGUAAUGACUCUCUUACAAUUGAGUCAUAUAGGUUUUCCCAAAGAUAUGCUGAAUUAAAUAUACUCGAACGUGAUUCAAGGCGGUUUGAAAAUUCCAUUAUGGGUAGUGGACAUACCUUCCCCAAUGUUACCGAGUUCCAUGAUGACGUGUAUUUGAUGUCAAUUGCUGGUAGAUUCCGUUAUUGCUUCAAGAGAAAUAGUACAAAACACAUGGCAGUUGUUUGCACAGUUAAUGAAUGUCCUUGGAAAGUCACUGCUCGUGCAGUUGGUGAAUCGAACAUCGUUUAGGUUCACACUUUUCAAAACCUCCACAAUCAUAGUUUGGAAGAUGUUGCCACAUGCCAACCUUUAGUGAGAUCCAAUCGUGCCUCAUUGCUUAUUGAUGAUGUCAUACAGUCCACUCCCCAUUACCAACCCUGCCAAAUUUGUAAGGACUUUCAAAGGCAACAUAGGAUGCAAUUGACGUAUCUUCAAGCAUGGAAUAUUAAGGAGAAGGCAAAUGAGCGCAUUUAUGGAGAACCCAAAUAUUAUUACAAAUUGUUGCCUUGGAUGUAUGAGAAAAUGGUUGCAACAAAUCUAGGAAGCAUUAUUGAGUUGAGACAUUUAAGUGAUGGGCAUUUUGAGUAACUCUUUAUUGCUCAUUCGGUAUCUAUCCAAGGGUUUGAAAUGGGGUGUCGGCCAAUCAUUGCUAUUGACUCCGCCCAUAUGAGUGGGCCAUAUAGGGGUGCAUUAUUUUCAGCCACUGCAUAUGAUGCAAAUGACUCCAUAUUCCCCUUAGCCUUUGGCGUGAUGAGCUCAGAAAAUUAUGGCAAUUACUCUUGGUUUUUGCAAAACUUGAAAAAGGUUGUUGGAGAUAAGGAAGUCGUUAUUAUCUCGGAUAGACAUCAUGUUCUCCUUCAUCGUGUUCCUGAAGUGUUUGGGCUUGAAAACCACGCCUACUGUUACCGUCACUUGAAGGAAAAUUUCAACUCUUUUUUGAGCAAACGUAACACAAGAGGGAACAAAGGUAAAGAAAAUGCACUCCAAUUCCUUGAUAGUAUUGUCUAUGCAAGGUUAGAGUACGAUUACAAUGUUUUCGAGGUUGAACUACGGAAAUACAAUGACACUUUAGCCACAUGGGUUGAAGAAAAUGCACCCAAACAUUGGGCUAUGUCAAAAUUCCCAAAACAAAUAUGGGAUAAAAUGACCACAAACCUUGCCAAGUUGUUUAAUGCUUGGUUAAGGAAUGAAAGACAUCACUCCAUUUGUGUCUUUCUAAUGGAGCAUAAAGGUAGUACCUAAGGUACAUUAAGGUAGUACCUAAGGUACAGUCCCAAAAAACCAAAGGUGGACCACUUGACCACAUAAGAGAACCACAUAAUGGCAUGGUCUAAGGGUNNNNNNNNNNNNNNNNNNNNNNNNNNNNNNNNNNNNNNNNNNNNNNNNNNNNNNNNNNNNNNNNNNNNNNNNNNNNNNNNNNNNNNNNNNNNNNNNNNNNGGUAGACCCCAACUUUAGCUAAGGUAGUACCUAAGGUCCCUAAAGGUAGUACCUAAAGUACAUUAAGGUAGUACCUAAGGGCUCUUAAGGUAGUACCUAAGGUACAGUCCCAAAAAACCAAAUGUGGACCUCUUAACCACAUAAGAGAACCACAUAAUGGCAUGGUCUAAGGGUCACAAAAGAAGGCCUCGUUUGGGAAAGUUAGACCCCAGUUUUAGCUAAGAUAGUUCCUAAGGUACAAUCCCUAAAAACCAAAGGUGGACCACUUGACCACACAAGAGAACCACAUAAUGACAUGGUCUAAGGGUCAUAAAAGAAGGCCCGAGGCUUGGGAAAAGUAAACCCCAACUUUACCUAAGGUAGUACCUAAGGUCCCUUAAGGUAGUACCUAAGAUACAAUCCCAAAAAACCAAAGGUGGACCACUUGACUACACAAAAGAACCACAUAAUGGCAUGGUCUAAGGGUCACAAAGGAAGACCCAAGGCUUGGGAAUGAUAGACCCCAACUUUAGCUAAGGCAGUACCUAAAGGCUCUUAAGGUAGUACCUAAGGUUUAAUUCCAAAAUACCAAAGGUGAACCACUUGACCACACUAGAGAAUCACAUAAUGGCAUGGUCUAAGGGUCACAAAGGAAGACUUGAAGCUGGGGAAAGGUAGAUCCCAAUUUUUGCUAAGGUAAUACCUAAGGUAUAUUAAGGUAGUACCUAAGGGCUCUUAAAGUAGUACCUAAGGUACAGUCCAAAAAAUCAAAGGUGAACCACUUGACCACAUAAGAGAACCACAUAAUGGCAUGGUCUAAUGGUCACAAAGGAAGGCCCGAGGCUUCGAAAAGGUAGACCCCAACUUUUGCUAAGGUAAUACUUGAGGUACAUUAAGGUAGUAUCUAAGAGCUCUUAAGGUAGUACCUAAGGUACAUUCUUAAAUAACCAAAGGUGAACCACUUGACCACAUAAGAGAAUCACAUAAUCGCAUGGUCUUAAGGUCAUAAAUGAAGGUCCGAGACUUGGGAAUGGUAGACCCCAAGUUUAGCUAAGGUAGUACCUAAGGUCCCUUAAGGUAGUACCUAAGGUACAUUAAGGUAGUACCUAAGGGCUCUUAAGGUAGCACCUAAGGUACAGUCCGCAAAAUAACAAUGCCACUUACAACCUUUUGCUCUUGUUAGAGCUCGCUAAGUCCACUUACAAACUUUUCCAUGCUAAGGCCACUUACUCUUUGGCUUUGAUUUCCAUAUUACCUUCAAAUGGGCGACUCCAAACACAACUUUCCCAUUUUUUUUAAGCCAUAGAAAUUUGCAUGUUAAAACCAUAAUUUUUCUCCCACGUUUUAAAAUUCCCAUUUGCGAGACCUUUUUUUUUUUCGUUUUGACUCUUACCACAUUAUAAAUGCAACACACAAAUUACUUGCAAGACUACUUAAAAAAUAACUUAUGCUUUUAGCUGGACCUAGUAUUUUUUUUAAAUUUUCUUUUUAUUCUUUAUGCAAUAUAAAAAUUUUAAGUUACACUGGAAACCAACUGAAUCCACAAAUACAAGGAACUCUUUCACUCUUCAGUCAUAAAGUAUUCACAAAUCAAAAUACCAACUCCUAUUGAAAACAACAAGCUCUUUCAAUAUGCUAUACCACACACAACAACUGGAUACCAGAUUUCUAUGCAUUUGAAAAGGUUGAUUAAAUCUCUUAACUCUUCCACAUAACUCCUUUAAACAAUAUGAGGAGCUUACCUGCCAUACUGCCAUAUCUAAACCUUGAAUUUAUGAUAAAUAUCCACAAGUUUUCUUAGAUGUAUCAACCUAGGAUCAACUAAUCAAAAUAUUCACUCAUAUAUUAUAUAUAAGAGGCAAAAAACAGAACAUGACUUCUAAACAAAAUUAGCACCAAGUCCAUGAUUUCCUGAUAGCAACCCAUUCUAGAAUGAGUUAUUCCCUCACAUGAUUUCUGGUACAGAUGUUCUCAAAGAAUUCAUACUUAACCAUCCUAGAAAACUAUUCCCAAUAAAAAUAAAAAUAAAUCCCUAAUAUGUUCCUGUACAAUUUGCAGUUCACACAAAGCAAAAACCACUGUCUUGUACGAAACCACAAAUUGCAACACAAUUAAUAAAAGAAAAAAGAAACAAAUAGAAAAACCCCACAAGAAUGCAGUAAAACUAUCAUUCAGCAAAUUCUGAAAUAAAAAAGAAACAAAUAGAAAACCCCACAAAAAUGCAGUAAAACUAUCAUUCGGCAGUUUUGGAAAUAAAAAAGAAACAAAUAGAAAAACCCCACAAGAAUGCUGAAAAACUAUCAUUCAGCAAUUUUGGAAAUAUUGUAAACCAACACCAUUAUCAUUCAAGCUUCUGAAGUAACCCAUGAUGAGAGCAAGAAGAUCAUAGAACACUUCGAAAAUAAUCCAUACCCACUGAAGAAAAACAUGAUUCACGGAGACCCACAUACCUCAUGCCCCUCAUCAAUGAAAAGUCUGUAAGCCAUGUUCGGGUGUUUUCUUUGAUUGGGUUUCAGAUUUCAUAACUUUCCGGUUCACAUUUGAGUGUUUAUUAAAUGGGCAAUUUUGGAUAUCGGUGGCUACUGACAUGGAGACCGUGGUGGCUGCUGAUAGGGAAAACUAAAGGGCAAUUUUGAAAUAGCUCACCGAAAUAGUAUAUAGUGCACAAAAAGAAUAAUAGUUUGGUCAUUGACGGACAAAGCCCAUAUUCCAGUUUCUUUGGGUUUGAUUUGCAUAUUACAUUCAAAUGGGCCUUCCGAAACACAACUUUCCCUUAAAAUAAUCUAAAUAAUAUUUCUCUUGUGAAAGCCCAAGCAUUCUUAUUGUUCUUCCUCUUUCUCCUCUUUAUCAGGCAUUUUAUUAGCAAUUGAUUAUGCAUCUGAAUUUUUUCAUCAACUCCUAGGAGUUCAUUGACGGUCAGCGCUUGGUAACACAUGCCUAUAUGUCUCACAUGUUUGGGUUGAGAGCAAAGCACUUAGGUCUUCACAAAGCAAUUUGUGUUCUGUUGGGAUGGAACAACAUUGUGCCCCCAGACACAAUAACAUGGGUUCCUCAUGUCUUACUUGGUGAUGAAGCUUUGAAUCAGAAAGAGGACCUCAUUCUCUGGCCACCACUUGUCAUCAUCCAUAAUAUUUCUAUUUGGAACAGUGAUCCAAAAGAAUGGAAGCUUGUAACCACUGAAGCGCUUGGGGCUUUUCUCAGAGGUUUGUGACUAACUUUUGGUUAAAUAAUCAUGUUGAGUUGGUUUACAACUGAAUUUAAUUGGAGGGAAUGCAAUGCAUAUAAAAAAUAAGAAUGCAAUUUAACCUAUUCUUGACGAGCAACACAGGAUGAGAAAUAAGAGAUUAUCAUUAUUGUCAGAUAAUAAGUCUGACCAAAAAGACAAGCUCAUUAUCAACCAACCCAACUUAAACUCGACCCUAAUAAACUUGUUGAACAAACACGUUGAAUCCUGCCCCAUUUGAUGAGAAAACAUGGCUAACCUUAUGAUGUAAUUCUUAUUUUGCUACUUGAAAAUUAUCAGUUUUAAAAAACUUAGAAGACUAAUGCCCUUAUACUUUCAUGGGAGUGAACCUCUCAGUAUCCUGAGCAAAAGCCUUUUCUUUUUUUUUCUUUUUUCCUUCUGAUCGUUGACUACUUGUUUUUGUGAAGAUUCUUCAAAAUGCCCUGGUUGCUUCCUUCAAGUCUUCACACCAUUAGAAAUCUGUAGUGCCCUUGCUGUGAUUUGACUAUUUCAUUCUUAUUCCCAAGUCUCAAUAUUUUCCUUUCCUUCUUUUAAAUCAACCCAAGAAUUUUACAAAUUUGUCUUAUUUUUGUAGUAGUUUCUAUAUUGGUUUUGAUUUGGAAGUGAGGAUGACUUCACUGAAAAUGUACAAAUUAAGAAAAAUUACAAAUGAUAAGCUCUUGAAAUUUACAAAAUUCAAGAUAAAUACAAGGCAGCCACUUCUCAUUCCGUCAUCUGUAAAUCACACAUACUUGUGUAUGCAAAUGAAGAAGAAACAAUCAUUUUCUGAAACUUUCCUUUACCUCCUUUGGAAGUCAAGGAACUUAAUGCCAUAGGCAAAGACAAAUAAGAAGAGGAGGACCCAACCAAUAUGAGCCAAGGCAACCGCUCCCAGGAAAUCAUAUUCAAAGCCUAAAGCCUCCUUAAGAUACUGCUUCACUGACAUGUCAUCUGCUCCGGGUACCUGAACUGGAUCCUCCUUGUCGCCCACCUGAGAUGUCACUAGUCCGUAGAUGGUCCAAGCAACAGGGGAAGCCCAGUAGUACCACCUCCACCAUAUUGGUAUUUGCUGCAGAUGUACAGUUUGUUAGAAUUCAGUAUUCUUCUACAAAAACAUACUCAAAUUCUUCGUAGGCAUACGCACCAUCCUAUGGAUGAGAAAGCCAGAGAAGAGAUUCCAAAAGCUUAGGAAGAAGGACAUAACAAUGGCAGCAAUUUGAUGGCUGGGAGUGAGUGCUACAAUCAUCAUUCCAUACAAUGUGAAGUAAAUAAAGCACAUGAAUAGGUAGUAGUAGAACCAUAAGAACUUGUCCACUCGCCAGUAGAAUCCCAUCAUAGAGUAGAGGAGAAAACUGUAAAGACAAGUUUGGAUGGCAACGUAAAUUGCCUCUAUGGCCACCUGCAGGGCAUCCGAAUACAAGAUUAGUUUAAAGUUAAGCUCUACUAGAAAUGUGUAUCUGUUUCACAUUUGUUUUGUCAAAAGGCAACCUGGGCAAAUGCGUAAGACAAUGCUGAAUACAUCCCAGCUGCCCUUUCACGGUAGAAGACUGUUCUCUCAAUUGCCACAACAGGCUGCACUGCGGCAGUGUUGGUGGUUCCAAGGAAGAAGACAGCUGAAAACAUAGCUCCCAGCAGAUUUAUUAGGUCUUGUUCUUUGUCUCUGCAUACAGUAGUUGGGGUGUUGGUUCACAUUUUUUCUUAAUUAUUAAUGGAGAAACACCAAAAUAAUAAAUUUGCAAUACUUACGUCUGCUUUCCUUUGUUCCUGAAAAUUGCUCCAAAUAGAACACCAAUAAUUAUGGUCAAGAAGAGCCGGAUAGCAUUAUAGGGAGGAUUCCUCCAAUAAGACCAGUGCUGUUUCCAGAAGCAAGCCUUGCAUUGGGUAAUAAAGCUUUGAGAGUAUUUGGUGGGGAAAUAAAGGUUUUUGGAUCCUGGUGAUGGUGUGCUGAUCACUUUGAUGAGUUCCUGAUUCCUCCUACAACAAAAGGUGGAGUGUAAUAAGUCAUCGGAAAAAGAAUUGAGACAGAAAGAUGAAGUUCCAAGGAAUCAUAAUCCACUUACUGAUAGAGUUCAGAUUUAGCAUAAAUUUCCGCAAAAUCCACACCAAGUUGAGCCUCAACUGCAGCAGAGCUGACCUCCAGCAUCCAUGUAGCAGGAUUUUGACCAUCUCUGACUUUAGGAACCCCCGGGACAGCCUGCAGCAAGUUAUAGAUAUGAUCAUGACACACUCCUUAUAAGUAUAACAACGGAGAUGGAGCAAGUUCACGGAAGAUGAAUAAUGCUCACUUCAAAGUACUCUACAAGCUUGUGAGAAUUGCGACCAAGAGGUCCAGCAUAAAUGAUUUGUCCUCCUCUCUUCAUCAGCAAUAGCUGCAGGCAAAAAUGAUGUUGGAUUGAAGAAAGGAAUGGUGACUCCAUGAUAAUCAUAUCAAUAAGAAGUAUUAGAUACAAAACCAUGAAACUAAGAAAUACCUCAUCGAAAGCUUCAAAGAUGUCUAUGCUUGGCUGGUGAAUGGUGCAGACAACAGUCCGCCCUGUAUCCACUAUGUUUCUAACAGUACGCAUAACAAUUCUAGCUGCUCUAGCAUCAAGGCCUGUCGUUGGCUCAUCCAUGAAGAUGAUGGAGGGGUUAGCAACCAAUUCUACACCAACUGUCAGCCUCUUCCUCUGUUCUGUUGAAAGCCCAUCUAUUCCCGGAAGGCCAACCAAAGCAUUCCUCAGGGGGUGAAGCUCAACCAAAUCCAUUACUUCCUCAACAAACAUCUGUAGCACGGAAGGAACAAAAGAAAAGAACUGAUGAAUAUAGCUUGUAGUAGGGUGAAACUAAAUGAAAAAUCAUUCAUUUGAAAAAGGACAUGCCUGCCUUGUUUCCUUCUUGACAUCUGGAGCAAGGCGCAGCCAGGCUGAGUAAACAAGAGAUUCAUAAACAGUUACAUGUGGAGAAUGUAUAUCAUUCUGUGCACAGUAACCACUAACACGAGCGAAAGUUGCUUGGUCUUGGGGGUAACCAGAAAUGCUGAUUCUUCCUUCAAUGUACCCACCAGUUUUCCUUCCUGCUAACACAUCCAUCAAAGUGGUCUUUCCAGCACUACUAACACCAACUAAUGCCGUUAGAAUACCUGGCCUGAAAGCACCGCUAGCAUCCCACAGCAGUUGGAGACGAUCUACUUCAAUUCCUUGGCUCUUCAUUUCCUGUGAUUGAAUCCAGAAAAAAGUUUCAAAUCUCUAGACCAAGAUCAUAUCCUAACAUAUAUAUUAGUCUCACUUGUGUGUCUAAAUACUCAAAACAAGUUACUUACGGCAGGCAUAUCAACAUAGUAAUUCACAUGCUCAAAUGCAAGUGAUAAGGGCUGGAAGGGCAACACCAUUUCCCUUUUAGUAGGCUCAUGAUUUGCAUCUUUGACAACUGAUUUGGUGUUUUCUCCAGUGUUCCUUACUUCCAUAUCAAUACCUGUUACCAUAGACCUAAUAUCAGCUACCAGAUAAAGAAAAUCUGAUAUUUAUGUUAUUUGUAAUAUCUGGUAUCACUAGCCUCUUCAAGAAGUGAUUAACAAAAAUUUUGUGAGGGUCAUGUAAAAAGCUGGUGUAUCCUAGAGAAGGAGAACCAAUAGCAAGAAGCAAGUUUUAUGCAAUAUAAUUUCUCAAGAGCAAGCUCAGAAAUUGUAGCAACAUAAUAGUUGAUGAAACAUUAUUAAUUGCAACAUCUUUUCCUCUCUGCAAAGGGAUAUUUGCAGCAUGUUUCAGAAGAAAUAGAUCUCAAAACUUAUCCUUUUUGUCCCAACUUUUUGAAAUCUAUCUUGACAUCCACCACUUUGUUAUGCUUGAGUUUUAAGCUAUCAUACUACUGGUUUUCGGCAUUGAUAAACCACUCAGUUUAUUGAAAAUGAACACCAUAAGGUGGCAAUGAGAGGGGAGUUGAUUCAAUUGAAAAACUAGAUAUUCAAUUGAAAAACUAGGCAUUGAUAACCUAAUGCUUGGUUAAUAAAAUAUAUAGAAACGCUAGAAGACAAACAAACAACAAAAAACCAGAGGAGACCAAAGUAGGAAAAAUCUUGAACCUUGAGGCAUUGGGGCAACAGAUGCUGAAUUUCUUUCAGCGGUGGUCAUUUUAUGCUCUUUGUUAGAGUAAAACUGCUUCUCACUCUUUUUUUCAUCAUCCUCAUCAAUAAUGACAGAGUUUGAGCCUUCCAGAGCUGCAUUUGAGUUUCAGAAAAUUGUCAAAACUAGAAUCUUAUUUAAAUAAUACCCAGUUCUGACUGAUGGAUGAUAAUUCCAUGACUAAAACCUUUGGAGGGAAGGAAAAAGGAAAAUGUAGGUUAGCAUAAGCAAUAACUUACGGUUCAAAUAUGUCAGAGCUGCAAUGAAACAGAUAUUGAAGAGCAGAGAAAACCCCGUGAGUGCACCAACACAAAUCCAAUACCAAUAUCCAUCCACAAACAUGCCUCUUUCCUUGAGAAGAGCUUUCCCAACUGUGGGUUCUGGAAUUCUUCGAUUGAUGUUGGGCUGUGCCAAAAACCGAGUAGUGUAUACAAAGACAGACCAAGUAAUGAAGGUAGAAAUGCCCAAGCUUAAAACAAAGUGAGAAACAAUCAUUCAAAAGCUACUAGGAAACCUUACCGCACUCCAUCUGUCAUCAAGAAAUUCAUUGAUGACAAGCGCAUUUUGUCCAUACGUCAUUGGAGAAGCAUAAUAUGCCCAUAUCAUCCAUGGUUCAAUAUCAUCUGAGGAAGAAGGAUAAACAAAUGGUUUAUUAGAUUAUCACUCAUAUGAUAUAAUCACAUGAAGAGUGCCCCUCUCCCUUUCCAUUUGAAAUAUGGCAUCAGUGUUGCAAAAACAAUCAGCUCGCAUAGCAAAAAGACACAAAAUACUGACCUUUGGAUACAAUGAAUCCACCCCGAACAAAAACCAGUAGUAAUGUAAAGGUAGCAAGGGUGUUGGCCACAAUCUGUGUUCUUCCAAGUGCUGCAAUGAAGCGGAAGAGAGACAAAGCCAUCUGAUGCACGAGAAAUAAUGCCACUAAUUGACGGAAAAACCUGAACAAUUUUCAAGUCUUGGGUUGUUACAGUUCCAUUUGUGAAUGCUAAAACACAAGUCAGGAAGAAUGGAGGUCCAUUCACAUACCUACUAGCAGAAGGGGCAAACCCAAUAGUGUAAUACGUGAGAAUGAUCCAUAUCCCUGACUCCAUGAGUGACAAGGGGAUCCUAAGGACCCAAAUUGGUAAUGCAAAAGCCCAUGCCGGGUAAAACAAUAAGUCCCUCUGCUUAAAAAACACUGGGAGCCUGAAAAUAGUCAAUGCAAGCUCUGCCAUUCCGUUAUACAUUACAUUUAUGAGACCAUAAAACAGAGCCCCAUUGAAUUUUACUCCAUCUUGCAGUUGGCCAUGCUUCAUUUCUGUUCUGAAGAACACUGUCAUGGCAAUUACUGACAUGAUUGUAAUCUGGGUUGUCUUGAAUAUGUAUAUAAAAGAGUUGCGCUUCAUCAAUAGCCACUCUCUGACAAAGCAUGCCUUGAAGAGUUCCCAGUUGGAGAUUCCAUACUUUUCUGUCACCAAUGCUGCAGGUUGGGUUCUGCUCUUAUUGUAAGGGAUUCCAAGGUCAUCUGAAAGCUUCUGGCCAAUGUGGAAAGAGUUGAAGUGUUGCACAAACUCGGGCACUGAGAUAUAUUUGUAAGGUUCAUUCUUUCUGAACCAGUAUUGUUCUUGGUCCUUUCUGGAAGUCACCUCGUGCAAGAAGUCCACAACUCCUUUUCUUUCCGGGCAUUUGAAGCCCAUGCUUUCAAAGAACUCAAGGAUGUUUUCACGGGGACCUUGGUACACAAUCUGACCCUCACAUAGUAAGAUAAUGGCAUCAAAAAGAUCAUAAGUUUCAGGUGCGGGUUGGAGAAGAGAGAUUAUCAUGGUUACUUCCAUGAUAUGAACCAUCUGCCUCAUAAACUUAACAAUCUGAAAAGUGGUGGAACUGUCCAGACCAGUUGAUAUUUCAUCCAUGAAAAGAGCCUUUGCUGGUCUAACCAACAUUUCUCCUGCAUUCAGUUUCAUCAGUCGUAUUAGGCUUUUGUCCAGUGUUAAAAAUCUUAAGAACAGGGACUCCUCAGAAAGCAGACAAUUCAUAAUUGAUCGGUAGCUCAAUUCAAAUUGAAGGCAAAUGCUUUACCACUAAGUUGGAAGAAACAAUUGAUAUAGGACAUAAUCAAUGGAAAUGGGGCACAUACCAGUAGUAACACGCUUCUUUUCUCCACCAGAAAUGCCCCUUCUCAUAUCGUCUCCCACCAUAAUGUCAGCGCAGAUAUCUAAUCCCAGCAUCUGUUACACAGACAAUGUUAAAGAGCGUAAAGCUUGGGAAUGUAACUAAUAGGUCAGGCACCAAAUGGAAACGGAGCUACAAACCUUGAGCACGUAAUCUGUAACCAAAUUAGUUUCUGUUGCUCUCAUGAACGCAUCUAUCUCAGGAUCUGGCUUAAUUCCAGCUUCUUUUUCUCGUCUUGACAAUUCUGCAAGUAGUUCAUAUCUGGUUCCAACCCCCAAACAUCGUCCUGAGAAGUCCAACGUUUCCCUAACUGUCAUCUCACCAUGGUGCAGAUCAUGCUGGCCAAUGUAAGCACAUGUUCUCUGAGGAACAAACUCUGAUGAUUCAUGACCACAGUAUGUGAUUCUUCCUUCCAUCUGUCCAUAAACACCGUACACAACAGAGCUACUAGUUCAGGAAUCGGGACUAUCACCAUCACUAAAUAAUUCAAAAUUCAGGAACAGUCUGAGGACAUGGGCUGAAACUUGGGAAGGAAAUAAUAAUGACACAGUGAAGGAUCGAAUUGGAUAAAAAUAUUUGUCAGAAUGUAAGUUGUGGGGGACAACAUACCCUUAGAUCUUUGUUCAUCUUCCCAGCAAGCGCCUGUAGCAGGGUAGUUUUUCCUGAGGCUGGAGGUCCCAGAAGCAGAGUCAUUCUGCAAAACACAGAAGCUAAUCAAGAAACCGGCAAAGAAAGGAAGUGUACUUAAUGGGAAAAUUUUUUGUUAUCCUAUUAAAAUUUCCCAGAAUAUGUAUCAAUCAAAUUAUAUAAAGACAUCAUUCAGGAGAUUUGUGUUAAGGGCAACAUGAUUGAUUGAAAGGUACUUCCAAAAAUGGAAUACAUUUACCUUGAUGGUUUCACGAUCCCACUCACAUCUUUUAGUAUCUUGACUACCCUUUUCUUAGAUGGGGAAAGCCUAAUCAGUCCAAGUAUUCCCUGUUCAUGACAACAAAUAAACACAAUCAUAAUUCAUUCAUCUCUACAAAUUCCAACAGUCUACUGAAUUGAAGCAAACUUCUCCCAAAAACAUUAUCAGGAGAUUGAAGUCAUUCAUCAUAAUUUGCUGAAAGGGAAAAUCAAGAAUCACCAUCGAAAACAGAAGAAGAAAAACAAAGGGACAAACAGAACAAACCACCUCUAUGAAGUUCAUGGUAGAAUUGAUCAGAGUAGGAAGUGCCCUGGUUCCAACAUAUGCGUCUCCUUCUAUUGAUAAAUGCUCAAACCGGACUUCGAUUUUUGGAAUCUCAACCCCAACCCUGUUGAGAAAACAGAUGUUACGUUCCAUAAAACUUUUCUGGUAACAAAUUCAACUGGGGCAAAGCCAAAAGCAAAAAAACACAUGACUAACAGGGUGAACUUCAUGGGAAGAAAGAGAGAAGAGUGACCUAUCAGUCCUUUCCCUGAGCCUGAGAAGGAACUUCUCAUUAUCUUCUUCAACAACCUUUGGUAUACUCUCUAUGUGAUGCUUCCUCUCCUGCAUACCAAGAUUGGUGAAGUCAACUUCCUCAUGGACAACCUUCCCAUCAUCCAAAACUUGCUUAGGCAUCUCCUUGCUCAACCGCUCAAAGGUUGGAAGCCUUUCAAUGGCCGCCCACUUCAAUUCUUCCUCAUCAUCCUCUCUCCUACUCCUCUGAAAAACAUCACCUUGAGCUGACAACGCCUCACAAAUACUCGCAGAAGCCCAACUACGCCUACUUCCAGACGAUGAACUUUUACGCCUGCUGCUCAUGGAACUUGCUAGAUCAUCCUCAGCCAAUGAUGCAGCCAUUGUCCCCCACCAAAACCCCUCAGAGUAAAGACUCCAAACCCCACUUUAUAAUAACCCUGGAAAGCUGAGAUUCAACCGGUAAGCUAGCUCAACACGCUAGAGAAGGUUUCGAUGGAAUGGUGAUGGAGUGUUCGCCUGUUAGUUUAGGAGAGUUGGCGGCGGAAACCCCUCAGAAUAAAGACUCCAAACCCCCUUUAUAAUAACCCUGGAAAGCUGAGAUUCAACCGGUAAGCAACACGCUCGAGAAGGUGUCAAUGGUGUCGGAGUGAUCGCCCGCUAGUUUAGGAGAGUUGGCGGCGGCGGUAGUCACUGCCUGCGUGGAGCCGUUGUUUGUUUUAAAGUCACAUCAUAAAAAAUUGCCUUACAUGUAAAAUUCUUUUAUCAAAAAUAAAAACUAAAAUAGAAAAUUUGCCACCUCUACAAAAAAAAUAUAAAUUUAAUUUUUCCAAAACAAAAUUAUCAUUUGUCAUUAAUUACUAAUAAUAUAUUAAGAUUGAACGAAAAUUAAAAAAUAAAAUAAAAUCUCAUUUAAUAUUUUUCGUAUUUAUUCCUUUUUAUACUCUUGUUUUAGGGUUGAUUUAGCUAAAUCGUAAAAAAUAAUACUUACUAAGUUUUUAUUAACUAUUUAUAUUUUUACUUGGAAGCAUGAAUAUAAUAUGAAUCCAUCAAAAUUUAGCUAUUAAGUUAUGGGUGUUUUAGUGAUGUAUCAUAUAAAAUAUAAAUUUUAAUUGAAAGACUUUACUUUCAACUAUCUUAUAUUUAAUUAUUUGAAAAAGAAUAAGAAUUAAGAUACUGAUUUUGUAUCUAUGAAAAUCUUAAUCUCCAUUUUUAAAAGUACAUAUAAAAAAUAAAAAUAAAAAUCUAAGUUUUUGAAUGUAAGUACAAAAAAUGAAAUCAAGUUGUAAAACACGAGACUUAACACACACGUCUUCUAUUUGAAAGAUAUCAAAAUUUAUAAUAGAAGUUAUUGAAUUUUUUUAAAAUAAUUUAAAAUGUUUUUGCUAUAAAAUGAUUAGAAUUAUUGAUCUAAUGAAUUUUUUUUCCUACUUUUUAAUUCUUUUAAACAUUUCCUUUAAAUAUUCUUGAUCAUUUUAUUUAUAUAAAGUCCAAAAAAAAUUUCAAGUGUACUUAUACCAUGGUUGUUUAAUUUAAUAUAUUUUUAUAAUUAAUAUUUAAAAUUAUUUACUUUUUAAUAAUAAUAUAAAAUAUCAUUAAUUACCUUAUAAUUUAUAAAUGAUAAUUACAAUAUAAUAUUCUUAGUGGAUGUCCUCGUGACAAAAGUCUUGGGUGGACAAGUAUAUUGCCUUUUAAAUUAUUUUACAAGUCUCGUUAUUUCCGCCCGGAUUUUUUUAUAAUUGUACCGUGAAUUUAAAAUUAAUUUUUUAAAAUACGGCACUAUGAAAACUAUUUCCAAAUCUACGGCAUUUUGUAUCACUUUUUAAAGGUAUCUCUUGAAAAGACAUUUUACAUCAUUUUUAUAUAAAUGAUACAUGUUCAAAAAAAUUGAAUUUACAUUGAAGGUAUCUCUUCAAGAGACACCUUCCACAAUUUUUAUAUCAAUAACACAUGUUAAAAAUUUUGAAUUUACAUUAAAAGUAUCUCUUUAAGAGACUUUUUUUAAUUUUAUAAAAUUAAAUUUAUAUUAAAAGUGUCUUUUAAAUAGUUAUUUUUCACGGUUUUCAUAUCAGUUGCAUAAUAAAAAAAUUGAAUUUAUACUAAAGAUGUCAGACACACUUUCUAAAAUUUCACAAAAUUAAAUUUAUAUUAAAAAUGUCUCUUGAAGAGACACCUUUAACAAUUUUUGCAUCAAUCAUCCAUUGAAAUAAUUGAAUUUAUAGGUUAUGUUUGGUUCCCGAAAAGUAUUAAGAAAAGAAAAAAAUUGCUUAAGAAAAUAAUUUUCUCAUGUUUGGUUGUCUUAUAGAAAAUAAUAAAGAAAAUAAUAUAUAAGUAAGAUUAAUUAAAAAUUUAUAUAUUUUCAAAUUAUUUAAUCUUUAUAUUGAAAAGUGAAAAUAAGUAAAAUGAGUUUGAAGUAGCAUGUAAAAAUAAUUUAUUGAUUUUAAAUCCAUUGUUAUUUUCCCUCAUUUUUUCUUUCAUUCUAUUUUCCUUUCUAUUUUCUUUCCCUUGUAUUUUCCUUUACAUUUUCCAGGAACCAAACAUAGCCUAAAAGUGUAUUUUCAAAAGACACAUUCCACAAUUCCAUAAAAUUAAAUUUAUAUUGAAAUGUUUUCCUUCAAGAAACACUUUUAGUAUAAAUUUAAUUUUUUUUUAUAGGUGACUAAUAUAAAAAUUGUAAAAAGUGUUUCUUUAAAAGACACAUUUAGUAUAAAUUCAAUUUUGUGAAAUUGUAUAGACUCCUUCAAUGUAAAUUUAUUUUUUUUCACUGUGUAAUUGAUAUGAAAAUUAUAAAAAAUGUCUCUUCUAGAGACAUCUUUAGUAUUAAUUUGAUUUUAUGGUAUUGUGGAAAUGAUAUUUUUUUAAUAUAAAUUUAAUUUUUUUUUAAUAUAUAUGACUAAUAAAAAAAUUAUGGAAAAGUGUCUUUGGAAGAGACACUUUAACAUAUAUUCAAUUUUAUGGAAUUAUGGAAUGUAUCUUUUCAAGAGACUCCUUUUGUGUAAAUUUAAUUUAAUUUUUUUUAACAUUUAUGGUUGAUAUAAAAAAUAUAGAAGAUGUCUUUUCAAAAAAUAUAUUUCAAAAUGACAAAAAAAUAUAGUAGAUUUGGAAUUAUUUUUUAAAGUACUAUUUUUUAAGAAUUAUUUUUUUAAAUAGCCGUACAAGUUUAAAAAGCCCGUCCAGGGCUGAGAACUGGAAAAAGGAAGACGGUCCGACACACUUGAUAAAAGGAGACAAGACUUUGGUCAUGUAAUUCCAAAUCUAUCGAAGGAAAAGGUAUUAAUUUGAAAGAAAUCCUAAUCAUUGACUCGGCUUCCACAUGUAUUUCUACCAUCAUCCGACCACUCAAAUUGGUUUUUUUAUAUUUAUGAUUUUCAUUGAUUUCUGUCCAACCCAAACCUAUCGAAUUAAAAGAGGAAAAGGUAUAUAUUGAUUAAAAAGAUUGGAAAGAAGUACUAAUCAUUGACUGAUAGGCUUCUUCACCAUCUAUAACAAAAGAAAUAUUUGGUUAAAAGGAUGAAAUAAUUCUCAAAAUUAAAAAUCUAACCCUUUUCAUAUUUUUUUUGAAAAAAUAAUUCAUUUUUUAUAUAAAUAUUAUUUUCUAUUUUAAGUAUUUAUAUGUAGGUUUUAAAAGAAACGGUUGUUUUUACAAGAAAAUAAUGAGAAUAUUUUUGUCCAAAUGAUACCAAAAAAUGGGUGAGAGGUUAAAUUUCAAAAGUUGGAUUUUGAGAGGCCCUUUUAAUCAAAUAACCCUUUACAAAAAUUCCUUUUCAGGUCACUCUAAUUAAGGAAAUAGACUUUUGUUUUAAAAAAACCUUUUUUGGGCAUUUUAUUAAAAAUUAACUUUUUGGACAAUUUUAUUCACAAAACGAUUUUUUAAAUCAUUUUUAUUAAAUAAAUAAUUUUUUUUUUGUUUUUUUAGGACAAUUAUUAUUAAAAACAAUUUUUUGAAAUUUUGGAUUUUUGGAUAUUCAAUUCUGUACCCAAUGAGUAAACAUAUAUAAAUGAAUAUUUACGAAUCAAUAGGAAUAAAACAAAAUCUUAACAAUGAAAUGAGUCCAUGUAAAAACAAAAAUAAACCAAAAUAAAUAUUCAAAAAUAUACAAAGUCUAAAAUUAAACUUUAAAUUAAUCCAAUAAAUUUCACCAAUUAAAAUAGAUUUAAAUUGAUAAAUAAAACCCAAUAAAAACAUCCCACAUAUUAUUAGUCUUAAUCCCAGAUCUGCAAAUUAAUCACCAAAACACAAACAUAAUCAUGAAAAUUUACUAAAAAUACCAAAAAUCUUCUCUUUGGUUCUAAUACUUAUUUUGAAAACCAUUUUUAAUUAUAAAUUUCCUCUGCAAAGUGGAUGGAGAUAUUGGCCUUAUAUCUCCUUUUUCAUUCCUCUCUAUUGUUCCUGAUCUGCACCAUUGUUGGAUCUGUUAAAAUCUGGAGAAAAAUAAGGAACUAAAACUUGUAGAAAAUAUUAGAGUAUUGAGUUGGAGAAAGGCACACAAUAUUUCACCAAUGAGAAUGCCUAUUUAUAGGCUUACAACCAAACUGAAAAUGCUAAAAACUCUCAGCUGCUAUGACUACUUCUACUAACAGAAAAACUGAAAAUUAUGGAGCAAAACUGAGUCUAACUAAGACAUUUUCAAAGGCAAACUCUCAUGAAUUCUAACACUCCUCCUUGAGAUUUGCCUUGGACAUACCAAGCUUCAACCUUAGGAACUCCAGCCUUGAUUUAGGAAGUCCUUUAGUCAUUAUGUUAGCAAGUUGCUCAUCAGUUGAGCAAUAAUGCAGCUUAACAAGUGAAUUCUUUUCAGCUUCCCUUAUGGAGUGGAAUUUUACAUUUAUGUGCUUGGUUCUGCCAUGUUGGACAGGAUUUUGAGUACUGGAAAUGGCUGACUUAUUGUCAUAGUAAAGCUCAGUUGGUGAGCUUUGUUCCUGGCCUAAAUCAGUAAGCAAUUUUCUCAACCAUAUUACUUGAUUUGCAGCAGCUGCUAAGGAGAUAUACUCAGCUUCUGUAGUUGAUUGUGCCACUACUUCUUGCUUUCUUGAAUUCCAGCAUAUGACACCUGAACUGAUUGUAAAUACAUAACCUGAAGUGCUCUUCAUAUCAUCAACACUUCCUGCCCAAUCACUAUCAGCAUAACCAUCUAGCUUAACUCCUCCUGUCUUUAAAUACCAAAUGCCAAGAUUUGUUGUACCUUUAACAUACUUUAGCACCCUCUUUGCAACUCCCAUGUGAACAUUUCUAGGUGAACUCAAGAACCUUGAAAGCAAACUAGCUGGAAACAUCAAGUCAGGUCUGGUUACUGUCAAGUAUAGUAGGCUUCCCACCAAGCUUCUAUAUGCAGAGGGUUCCUCAAGUUUCUCACCAUCAUUCUUUGAAAUUUUCUCAUUUUGUGCCAACGGAGUUGCUACUUCUUUGCAUGAUUCUAGCUUGAAUUUCUUGAGAAUAUCCAUAGCAUAUUUUCUUUGUGAAAUGAAGAUACACCAGCUGCAUUGGUAUAUUUCCAUUCCAAGGAAGUAGUUCAUGAUGCCAAGGUCAGACAUCUCAAAUGCAUCAUGCAUUUCCAUUUUGAAAUCAGCUAGCAAUUUUACAUUGCUUCCAGUCACUAGCAUGUCAUCAACAUAAAGUGAUACUACCAGUUGCAAACCAUCAUCAUUUUGUUUCAAAUACAAAGUAGCUUCAUUUUCACUCCUCCUAAAUCCAAGUUGGAUCAGAUGAGAAUCAAUUAUGCUAUACCAGGCCCUUGGUGCUUGCUUCAAACCAUAGAGAGCCUUAUGUAGCUUGUACACUUUAUGUUCAUGGCCAAUAACCUCAAAGCCUUUUGGUUGUUGAACAUAAAUUUCUUCAAGAAGUAUACCAUUUAGAAAAGUUGACUUGACAUCUAAAUGGUAUACUUUCCAUCCCAUUUGACCAGCAAGUGCAAGUAGUAGCCUUAUAGUGUCAUGUCUGGCUACUGGUGCAAAUGUAUCACCAUAGUCCACUCCAGCAACUUGAGCAAAACCCUUCACAACCAAUCUAGCCUUAUGCCUGAAGAUUGAACCAUCUGAAUUAAAUUUGGUUCUAAAAACCCAUUUUACACCAAUUACAUUCUUAACUUCAGGUAGUUCUGUCAACUUCCAGGUUCCAUUUCUUUCAAUAGCAUCAAUUUCAGCUUUCAUGACCUCAAUCCAUUCUAGAAAUCUUGCAGCUUCCGUGUAACAUGUAGGCUCAGCAUGUACAAGAUUGCACCUCUCAUACACAUCAGAUAAUGGCCUCAUCUUAAGCACAAGUGUGUCUGAAGUUGCUUCAACAUCAAGUGGACCUUCAAUGAUUAUACUUUCUAUUGCUGGUUCAAGAAUAGAUGGAGUGGUUUGAUCACAUUUAUGAACUUUCUUCAAGUCCCAAUUCCAGUAGGAGUUUUCAUCAAAGUCCACAUCUCUACUUAUCACGAUUUUCAUUCUACUCAAGCUAUAAAUUCUGUAACCUUUUGAUUCAGCUGCAUACCCAACAAAAACACCUUUCUCAGCUCUUUCAUCAAGCUUCCCUCUCUUGACAGAUGGCACAUGAAGAUAACAAAAUGAACCAAAAACUUUCAGGUGCUUGAUAGAAGGUUUUACACCAGACCAUGCCUCUAUUGGUGUUUUGCUCUAAACAGACUUAGUUGGUAGUCUGUUAAGCAAAUAUACUGAGGUGUUGACUGCUUCAGCCCAUAGAAGUUUUGGUAGCUUCUUCUCGAAUAGCAUGCACCUUGCCAUCUCCAUCACGGUUCUGUUCUUCCUCUCAAAGACUCCAUUCUGUUGUGGUGAGUAUGGAGCUAUUAGUUGGUGUACAAUUCCAGCUUCUUGACAAAAGACAUUUAACUCUUUUGAGAUAUACUCACCUCCAUUAUCAGUUCUAAGCACCUUAACGUUCUGGCCACUUUGAGUUUCAACCAUUUUCUUGAAGCUUUUGAACACAGAGAGCACUUGUGACUUGGUUUUUAGAAAAUAAACCCAAGUCAUUCUACUGAGAUCAUCAAUAAAUAAUGCAAAAUACACAUUGUUGCUCAAUGAGGCUGUGCUCAUUGGUCCACAAAUAUCUGAAUUAAUUAAUUCCAGCUUGUGAGUAGCUUUCUUGGACAUAUUUUGAGGGAAUGGUUGUCGUUGUUGCUUCCCUAGCUCACAACUUUCACAAGUUUGAGCAUUAACUGAGAUUUCAGGCAUGUCUUCAACCAUACCAGCUUCUUGCAUGAACCUCAGUGACUUCAAGUUGAAAUGACCAUAUCUUUUGUGCCAAACAACACUCUCAUCAAUCUUGGCACUAAAGACAUGACCUUCAACUAAAUCAAGCUUCAAAUAAAAGUUAUUUCCAUUCAUUUUAAUUUUUGCUAUCUCUUUUCCAUGUACAUUAGUGAUAAAACAAAAAUUUCCUUUGAAAAAGACUGCAUAUCCAUUUCUUAGCAUUUGUGCAACACUAAGAAGAUUCUGAUCUAAAUCUGGAAUGUAAAGAACAUUAGUGACAAUUUUUGUACGUCUCUUGGUGCUGAUAGCAAUUGUCCCUUUUCCUUUGGCCUGCACAACUUCACCGUUUCCCAACUUGACCUUUGGUUGAACUGAUCUAUCAAUGGAGGUAAAUAUUGACAGAUAUUUGGUCAUGUGACUCGUGCAGCCACUGUCAAUGAGCCAAGUAUUCAGUUCAUGAGAACUCAGUUCAUGAGAACUGAGUGCUUGUGAUGCCAUAAAUAAAUGCUCAUCAUCAUUUUUGUCUUCUUCAGUCACAUUUGCAUUUUGUUUUGGUUGUUGUUGAGAUUGUUUUUUCUUGGCUCUGCAAUACUUCUCACUGUGGCCAAGUUUAUUGCAGAAAUUACAAUUAAAGAGAGGUUUACCUUUGUGCCAACAAUCUUUCUCAGCAUGGUUGGUUCUUCUACAAUGAGAGCAAGACGGAAAUUUUCCUUUUCUUGAAGACCCUUCAGCUUUCUCUUUGUUGUUCUUGAAGAACUUCUUUCCUUGCAAGUUUCCAGAAUUCUUUCCCUCGUGAUUUGCUUGAAAAGCACCUUCAGUAGCUUCAUCACCUCUCAUUAAGACCCUUUGCUCUUGUGCAUGAAGCUUGCUGGUUAACUCUACAAUUGUGAGAGUUUGCAAGUCACAAGACUCUUCAAUUGCAGAAAUCUUGGCUUCAAACUUUUGAGGCACUAAAACCAUGAUCUUUUCUACCACCUUUUGAUCUGUAAAUGCCUCACCAAGAAGUCGUAUUUGGUUUACAACAUCCAUUAACCUGCCAGAAUAAUCUUUGACAAAUUCAUCGUCUUUCAUCUUCAUCAACUCAAACUCUCUCUUCAAUUUGAGGAGUCUAACAGUUUUGAAUCUUUCACUGCCCUCAAAUUCACCUUGGAGCUUGUCCCAUACUAGUUUAGGUGUUUCCAAGUUCAUGAUUUUGGUGAAGAUGUGGUCUGUAAGUCCUGAAUGUAGGCAGGUGAUGGCUUUGUCUUUCUUGAGUUUUUCUUCCUCAUAUGCUUUCAUCUGAGCAACUGUAGGAUUUGCUCCCAAUGGUGGUGGAUCAGCUUCAGACAUCACAACAUUCCACAAACCUUGAGACCUUAAAUAAAACCUCAUCUUGACAGCCCAAAUGUGAUAGUGUUCACCAUUAAACACUGAAAUUACAGAGGAAGUAUUGCUAGAAGGAGACAUGUUUGCACCACAGUUGCUUAAAAAAAAAUAGAUCACUCAACCUCACUAGUGUUUGCACUCAACCUCAUUGUGUUUAAUACUAAAAAAAAAACUUUGCCUCAUAGCCCGUAGGAAUAAUGCUCUGAUACCACUGUUAAAAUCUGGAGAAAAAUAAGGAACUAAAACUUGCAGAAAAUAUUAGAGUAUUGAGUUGGAGAAAGGCACACAAUAUUUCACCAAUGAGAAUGCCUAUUUAUAGGCUUACAACCAAACUGAAAAUGCUAAAAACCUCAGCUGCUAUGACUACUUCUACUAACAGAAAAACUGAAAAUUUUGGAGCAAAACAGAGACUGAGUCUAACUAAGACAUUUUCAAAGGCAAACUCUCAUGAAUUCUAACAGGAUCCUCAUGAUCUAUUUCCACCAAGUCCCACAAGUCACAUGCUUGCAGGUACGACUCCAUUUUCACAUCCCAUAUUUGGUAAUUUUCACCUGUGAAAACUGGAGGUGCAGACAAAAAUCUAUUUCUGCCAUAUCGGGUUUCAAGAGGAAGGAUGGGUUUUGAUUUGUUGUGGUUUAUAUCUCACUUGAUACACUCUCACACUACACAGGUCCCAAGUCAAAUAUGAAUUCAAAAAAUUCAAACUAAACUACAAACUGUUCCUCUAUCUUGUAGAAUACUCUCAACAGAAUACCAGCUUAAAUCCUGCAGCAAAUAUAGCACUUGUCAUCACUAACUUUUGGUUAAAUAAUCAUAUUGAGUCGGUUUACAACUGAAUUUAUUUGGAGGGAAUGCAAUGCAUAUCAAAAAUAAAUACAAGGCAGCCACUUCUCAUUUUGUCAAAUGUAAAUCACUCAUACUUGUGUAUGCAAAUGAAAAAGAAACAAUCAUUUUCUGAGACUUUCCUUUACCUCCUUUGGAAGUUAAGGAACUUAAUGCCAUAGGCAAAGACAAACAAGAAGAGGAGGACCCAACCAAUAUGAGCCAAGGCAACCGCUCCCAAGAAAUCAUAUUCAAAGCCUGAAGCCUCCUUAAGAUACAGCUUCACUGACUUCACACCUGCUCCAGGUACCUGAACCGGAUCCUCCUUGUUGCCCACCUGAGAUGUCACCAGUCCGUAGAUGGUCCAAGCAACAGGGGAAGCCCAGUAGUACCACCUCCACCAUAUCGGUAUUUGCUGCAGAUGUACAGUUUGUUAGAAUUCAAUAUUCUUCUACAAAAACAUACUCAAAUUCUUCGUAGGCAUACACACCAUCCUAGGGAUGAGAAAACCAGAGAAGAGAUUCCAAAAGCUUAGGAAGAAGGACAUAACAAUGGCAGCAAUUUGAUGGCUGGGAGUGAGUGCUACGAUCAUCAUUCCAUACAAUGUGAAGUAAAUAAAGCACAUGAGUAGGUAGUAGUAGAACCAUAAGAACUUAUCCACUCGCCAGUAGAAUCCCAUCAUAGAGUAGAGGAGAAGACUGUAAACCAAAGUUUGGAUUGCAACGUAAAUUGUCUCUAUGACCACCUGCAGGGCAUCCGAAUACAGAUUAGUUUAAAGUUAAGCUCUACUAGAAAUGUGUCUGUUUCUUGUCAGUUUUCUCAAAAGGCAACCUGGGCAAAUGCGUAAGGCAAUGCUGAAUACAUCCCAGCUGCCCUUUCGCGGUAGAAGACUGUUCUCUCAAUUGCCACAACAGGCUGCACUGCAGCAGUGUUGGUGGCUCCAAGGAAGAAGACAGCUGAAAACAUAGCUCCCAGCAGAUUUAGUAGGUCUUGCUCUUUGUCUCUGCAUACAAUAGUUGGGGUGUUGGUUCACAUUUUUUCUUAAUUAUUAAUGGAGAAACACCAAAAUAAUAAAUUUGCAAUACUUACAUCUGCUCUCCUUUGUUCCAGAAAAUUACUCCAAAUAGAACACCAAUAAUUAUGGUCAAGAAGAACCGGAUAGCAUUAUAGGGAGGAUUCCUCCAAUAAGACCAGUGCUGUUUCCAGAAGCAAGCCUUGCAUUGAGUAAAAAAGCUUUGAGAGUAUUUGGUGGGGAAAUAAAGGUUUUUGGAUCCUGGUGAUGGUGUGCUCAGCUCUUUGAUGAGUUCCUGAUUCCUCCUGCAACAAAAGGGGGAGUGCAAUAAAUCAUCGGAAAAAGAAUUGAGACAGAAAGAUGAUGUUCCAAGGAAUCAUAAACCACUUACUGAUAGAGUUCAGAUUUAGCAUAAAUUUCCGCAAAAUCCACACCAAGUUGAGCCUCAUAUGCAGCAGAGGUGACCUCCAGCAUCCAUGUAGCAGGAUUUUGACCAUCUCUGACUUUAGGAACCCCCGGGACAGCCUGCAGCAAGUUAUGGAUUUGAUCAUGACACACUCCUUAUAAGUAUAACAAUGGAGAUGGAGCAAGUUCACUGAAGAUGAAUAAUGCUCACUUCAAAGUACUCUACAAGCUUGUGAGAAUUGCGACCAAGAGGUCCAGCAUAAAUGACUUGUCCUCCUCUCUUCAUCAGCAGUAGCUGCAGGCAAAAAUGAUGUUGGGUUGAAGAAAGGAAUGGUGACUCCAUGACAAUCAUACCAGUAAGAAGUAUUAGAUACAAAACCAUGAAACUAAGAAAUACCUCAUCGAAUGCUUCAAAGAUGUCUAUGCUUGGCUGGUGAAUGGUGCAGACAACAGUCCGCCCUGUAUCCACUGUGUUUCUAACAGUACACAUAACAACGGCAGCUGCUCUAGCAUCAAGGCCUGUCGUUGGCUCAUCCAUGAAGAGGAUGGAGGGGUUAGCAACCAAUUCUACUGCUACUGUCAGCCUCUUCCUCUGUUCUGUUGAAAGCCCAUGUAUUCCUGGAAGGCCAACCAAAGCAUCCCUCAGGGGGUGAAGCUCAAUCAAAUCCAUUACUUCCUCAACAAACACCUAUGCCACAGAAGGAACAAAAAAACAACUGAUGAAUAUAGCUUAUAAAAGGGUGAACUAAAAGAAAAAUCAUUCAUUUGAAAAAAGGACAUGCCUGCCUUGUUUCCUUCUUGACAUCCGGAGCAAGGCGCAGCCAGGCAGAGUAAACAAGAGAUUCAUAAACAGUUACAUUUGGAGAAUGUAUAUCAUUCUGCUCACAGUAACCACUAAUACGAGGGAAAGUUGCUUGGUCUUUGGGGUAACCAGAAACGCUGAUACUUCCUUCAAUGUACCCACCAGUUUUCCUUCCUGCUAACACAUCCAUCAAAGUGGUCUUUCCAGCACCACUAACACCAACUAAUGCCAUUAGAAUACCUGGCCUGAAAGCACCGCUAGCAUCCCGCAGCAGUUGGAGACGAUCCACUUCAAUUCCUUGGCUCUUCAUUCCCUGUGAUUCAAUCCAUAAAAGAGUUUCAAAGCUCUAGACCAAGAUCAUAUCCUAACACAUAUAUUAGUCUCACUUGUGUGUCUAAAUACUCAAAACAAGUUACUUACAGCAGGCAUAUCAACAUAGUAAUUCACAUGCUCAAAUGCAAGUGAUAAGGGCUGGAAGGGCAACACCAUUCCCCUUUUAGUAGGUGCAUGAUUUGCAUCUUUGACAACUGAUUUGGUGUUUUCUCUAGUGUUCCUUACUUCCAUAUCAAUACCUGUUACCAUAGGCCUACUAUCAACUUCCAGAUAAAGAAAAUCUGAUGUUUAUGUUAUUUGUAAUGUCUAGUAUCACUAGGCUCUUCAAGAAGUGAUUAACAAGAAUUUUGUGAGGGUCAGGUAAAAAGCUGGUGUCUCCUAGAGAAGGAGAACCAAUAGCAAGAAGCAAGUUUUAUGCAAUAUAAUUUCUCAAGAGCAAGUUCAGAAAUUGUAGAACCAUACAAUAAUAGUUGAUGAAACAUUAUUAAUAGCAACAUCUUCUCCUCUCUGCAAAGGGAAAUUUGAUUUUAGGCUAUCAUGCUACUGGUUUUUGGCAUUGAUAAACCACUCAGUUUAUUGAAAAUGAACACCAUAAGGUGGCAAUCAGAGGAGAUUUGAUUCAAUGGAAAAACUAGAUAUUAACUGCUUGGUUAAUAAAAUAUAUAGAAACGCUAGAAGACAAACAAACAACCAAAAACCAGAGGAGAUCAAAGUAGGUAAAAUCUUGAACCUUCAGACAUUGGGGCAGUAGAUGCUGAAUUUCUUUCUGGGGUGGUCAGAUCAUGCUGCUUGUUAGAGUAAAACUGCUUCUCACUCUUUUCUUCAUCAUCCUCAUCAAUAAUGACAGAUUUUGAGUCACCCGGAGCUGCAUUUGAGUUUCAGAAAAUUGUCAAAACCAGAAUCUUAUUUAAAUAACACUCAGUUCUGACUGAUGGAUGAUAAUUCCAUGACUAAAACCAUUGGAGGGAAGGAAAAAGGAAAAUGGAGGUUAGUAUAAGCAAUAACUAACGGUUCAAAUAUGUCAGAGCUGCAAUGAAACAGAUAUUGAAGAGCAGAGAAAACCCCGUGAGUGCACCAAUACAAAUCCAAUACCAAUAGCCAUCCACAAACAUGCCUCUUGCCUUGAGAAGGGCUUUUCCAACUGUGGGUUCUGGAAUUCUUCUAUCGAUGUUGGGCUGUGCCAAAAACCGAUUAGCGUAUACAAAGACAGACCAAGUAAUGAAGGCAGAAAUGCCCAAGCUUAAAACAAAGUGAGAAACAAUCAUUCAAAAGCUACUAGGAAACCUUACCGCACUCCAUCUGUCAUCAAGAAAUUCAUUGAUGACAAGCGCAUUUUGUCCAUACAUCAUUGGAGAAGCAUAAUAUCCCCAUAUCAUCCAUGGUUCAAUAUCAUCUGAGGAAGAAGAAGAAACAAAUGGUUUAUUAAAUUAUCACUCAUAUGAUAUAAUCACAUGAAGAGUGCCCCUCGAUCUCCCUUUCCAUUUGAAAUAUGGCAUCAGUGUUGCAAAAACAAUCAGCUCAGUCCAUAGCAAAAAGACACAAAACACUGACCUUUGGCUACAAUGAAUCCACCCAGAACAAAAACCAGUAGCAAUGUAAAGGUACCAAGAGUGUUGGCCACAAUCUGUGUUCUUCCAAGAGCUGCAAUGAAGCGGAAGAGAGAUAGAGCCAUCUGAUGCACGCCAAAGAAUGCCAGUAAUUGACGGAAAAACCUGAACAUUUUUCAAGUCUUGGGUUGUCAUAGUUCCAUUUGUGAAUGCUAAGACAAGAUUCAGGAAGAAUGGAGGUCCAUUCACAUACCUACUAGCAGAAGGGGCAAACCCAAUAGUGUAAUACGUGAGAAUGAUCCAUAUCCCUGACUCCGUGAAUGACAAGGGGAUCCUAAGGACCCAAAUUGGUAAUGCAAAAGCCCAUGCCGGGUAAAACAAGAAAUCCCUCUGCUUAAAAAACACUGGGAGCCUGAAAAGAGUCAAUGCAAGCUCUGCCAUUCCGUUAAACAUUACAUUUAUGAGACUAUAAAACAGAGCCCCAUAGAAUUUUACUCCAUUUUGCAGUUGGCCAUGCUUCAUUUCUGUUCUGAAGAACACUGUCAUGGCAAUUACUGACAUGAUUGUAAUCUGGGUUGUCUUGAAUAUGUAUAUAAAAGAGUUGCGCUUCAUCAAUAGCCACUCCCUGGCAAAGCAUGCCUUGAAGAGUUCCCAGUUGGAGAUUCCAUACUUUUCUGUCACCAAUGCUGUAGGAUGGGUUCUGCUCUUAUUGUAAGGGAUUCCAAGGUCGUCUGAAAGCUUCUGGCCAAUAUGGAAAGAGUUGAAGUGUUGCACAAACUCGGGCACUGAGAUAUAUUUGUAAGGUUUAUUGUUUCUGAACCAGUAUUGUUCCUGGUCCUUUCUGGAAGUCACCUCUUGCAAGAAGUCUGCAACUCCUUUUCUUUUCGGGCAUUUGAAGCCCACGCUCUCAAAGAACCCAAGGAUGUUUUCACGGGGACCUUGGUACACAAUCUGACCCUCACAUAGUAAGAUAAUGGCAUCAAAAAGAUCAUAAGUUUCAGGUGCAGGUUGGAGAAGAGAGAUUAUCAUGGUUACUUCCAUGAUAUGAACCAUCUGCCUCAUAAACUUGACAAUCUGAAAAGUGGUGGAACUGUCCAGACCAGUUGAUAUUUCAUCCAUGAAAAGAGCCUUUGCUGGUCCAACCAACAUUUCUCCUGCAUUCAGUUUCAUCAGUCAUAUUAGGCUUUUGUGGAAUAUUAAAAAUCUUAAGAACAAGGAUUCCUCAGAAAUCAGACAAUUCAUAAUUGAUCAGUAGCUCAAUUCAAAUUGAAGGCAAAUGCUUUACCACUAAGUUGAAAGAAACAAUUGAUAUAGGACAUAAUCAAUGGAAAUGGGGCACAUACCGGUAGUAACACGCUUCUUUUCUCCACCAGAAAUGCCCCUUCUCAUAUCAUCUCCCAACACAAUGUCAGCGCAGAUGUCUAAUCCCAGCAUCUGUUACACACACAAUGUCAAAGAGCGUAAAGCUUGGGAAUGUAACUAAUAGGCCAGGCACCAAAUGGAAAUGGAGAUGCAAACCUUGAGCACAUAAUCUGUAACCAAACUAGUUUCUUGGCCUGCCAUUGCUGUUGCUUUCAUGAAUGCAUCUAUCUCAGGAUCUGGCUUAAUUCCAGCUUCUUUUUCUCGUCUUGACAAUUCUGCUAGUAGUUCAUAUCUGGUUCCAACUCCCAAACAUCGUCCUGAGAAGUCCAACGUUUCCCUAACUGUCAUCUCACCAUGGUGCAGAUCAUGCUGGCUAAUGUAAGCACAUGUUCUCUGAGGAACAAACUCUGAUAAUUCAUGACCACAGUAUGUGAUUUUUCCUUCCAUCUGUCCAUAAACACCGCACACAUCAGAGCAAUGAGUUCAGGAAUCAGGGACUAUCACCAUCACUAAAUAAUUCAUAUUGGGAAGGAAAUAACAAUGACACAGUGAAGGAUCGAAUUGGAUAAAAAUAUUUGUCAGAGUAACUUGGGGGGGCCAACAUACCCUUAGAUCUUUGUCCAUCUUCCCAGCAAGCGCCUGCAGCAGGGUAGUUUUCCCUGAGGCUGGAGGUCCCAGAAGCAGAGUCAUUCUGCAAAACACAAAAGCUAAUCAAGAAACCAGCAAAGAAAGGAAGUGUACUUAAUGGGAAAAUAUUUUGUUAUCCUAUUAAAUUUUCCCAGAAUUUGUAUCAAUCAAAUUAUAUAAAGACAUCAUUCAGGAGAUUUGUGUUGAGGGCAACAUGAUUGAUUGAAAGGUACUUCCAAAAAUGGAAUACAUUUACCUUGAUGGUUUCACGAUCCCACUCACAUCUUUUAGUAUCUUGACUACCCUUUUCUUAGAUGGUGAAAGCCUAAUCAGCCCAAGUAUUCCCUGUUCACGACAACAAAUAAACACAAUCAUAAUUCAUUCAUCUCUACAAAUUCCAACAGUCUACUGAAUUGAAGCAAACUUCUCCCAAAAACAUUAUCAGGAGAUUGAAGUCAUUCAUCACAAUUUGCUGAAAGGGAAAAUCAAGAAUCACCAUCGAAAACAGAAGAAGAAAAACAAAGGGACAAACAGAACAAACUACCUCUAUGAAGUUCAUGGUAAAAUUGAGCAGAGUAGGAAGUGCCCUGGUUCCAACAUAUGCGUCUCCUUCUAUUGAUAAAUGCUCAAACCGGACUUCGAUUUUUGGAAUCUCAACCCCAACCCUGUUGAGCAAACAGAUGUUACGUUCUAUAAAACUUUUCUGGUAACAAAUUCAACUGGGGCAAAGCAAGCAAAAAAACACAUGACCAACAGAGUGAACUUCAUGGGAAGAAAGAGAGAAGAGUGACCUAUCAGUCCUUUCCCUGAGCCUGAGAAGGAACUUCUCAUUAUCUUCUUCAACAACCUUAAGUAUACUCUCUAUGUGAUGCUUCCUCUCCUGCAUACCAAGAUUGGUGAAGUCAACUUCUUCAUGGACAACCUUCCCAUCAUCCAAAACUUGCUUAAGCAUCCCCUUCCUCAACCGCUCAAAGGUUGGAAGCCUUUCAAUGGCCGCCCACUUCAACUCUUCCUCAUCAUCCUCUUUCCUACUCUGAAAAGCAUCACCUUGUGCUGACAACGCCUCACGAAUACUCGCAGAAGCCCAACUUCGCCUAAUUCCAGUAUGCUAAACUUUUACGCCUGCUGCUCACGGACCUUGCUAGAUCAUCCCCAGCCAAUGCUGCAGCCAUUGUCACCCACCAAAACCCCUCAGAGUAAAGACUCCAAACCCCCCUUUAUAAUAACCCUAGAAAGCUCAGAUUCAACCGAUGAGCUCAAGAUGCUAGAGAAGGUGUGGAUGAAAUGGUGAGUAGAUGAGAUUGAUGGGCAUGGAGUGAUGUAGGAGGUGAUGGAGACUGGGAAGCGGUAGAGAAGUGGGCAUUACUGAGUGGGAGAGGAGAGUCUUUUAUGAAGUACAUGAAAAAUACUAUAUUUGAUCACUUGUGAGCUCAGGAGAGUUGAGAGUUGAGAGUUGCUAGUGAGAGUUUCAUGUAAAUGAUUGCAAAUCCUCUUGGUCUUAAUUAUGGCUGGCACUUGGCAGAUAAUUGAGAGAGGGUAACUGUGUUUCGGCGUUGCGGUGUUGGCUUAACAACCACAAUAAAAAUAAAUUAAAAUUAAUUAAAAUUUCAUCCACUAAGUAAAGGAUAGACAUAUGUUGUUAAAUACUACUUUAUCCUUCACUUAAAAAUGUAUAAAAAUAACAAAUAUUUUGAAAUCACAUCAUACCAUUUCAAAAAGAAAAAUUUGCCUUACAUGUAAAAUUUUUAGCAAAAAUAAAAACCAAAAUAGAAAAUUUGCCCCCUCUUAAACAAAAAUAUAAAUUUAAUUUAAAAAAAUUUAAAAAUAGAAAAUAAUGAUAACUAAAUAUUUUUACCAAAAAAACUAAUAUUUAUCAUUAAUUACUAAUAAUAUAUUCAGAUUGAACUAUAAUUUUUUUAAAAAAAUAUUCAUUAUAAAAUAUGUGAAUUUAUCGGAUUAAGAGAACUUGUAAAUAAUCAUAUAUGUUGAUGUAUAUUUAUUUAUAACUCCUUAUAAAAUAGAGAUACCUUUAAUGAAAAUUCACUUUGUUCUCUUCCAAUGUUCUAUUAUACUUUUCUUGAAGGAUUUAUGUUUAUUCUCUCUUCUAUUUUUUUUUUAGUCGUUUAUUUUAUAACACGUUAUCAACAUGAUGCUCUGAGUAUGUAGAAGAAAAAAAGAAGAAUGAUUGAGAUAGAAAAAAUAGAAGAUUUCAUCUACAAAAUUUCUUACAGGUAUAUAUUCUUAUUUUCUUCGAAUGAAAUAUGAAAAGUAGUAUACAUUGUAUUAUUAUUAUUAUUUACUUUAUCUCAUAGCCAGAAGCUAUGUGAAUCAUAUUUCAUAUAAUUAUAAAUAUUUUAAUUAUUUAAUAACUAGAAGAGAUAUAUAUAUAUAUAUAUAUAUAUAUAUAUAUAUAUAUAUAUAUAUAUAUAUAUAAUCAUAACUAGAAGUUAUGAAAAAAAAAAUAUAUGUGCAAUCCCUAUAAUAAGAAGUUAUGGGGUAAAUUAAAAAAACACAUUCAAAAGUCAUGUAUAUAAUCCCUAAUUAUCUAUUUUAAAUUAUACAAUAUAAUUAAAAGUUAUACCAAACAAUAUUAUAUAAUCAGAAGCUAUAAAAGUAAAUAGUUCAUAGCCUGAAGUUAUGUACAAAGCUACAUAAUGAAAUUCAUAGCCUGAAGUUAUUCACAAAUUUAUAUAAAACUAGUUCAUAUGGUUGUUUAAUUUGAUAUAUUUUUAUAAUUAAUAUUUAAAAUUAUUUAAUUUUUUUAAUAAUAAUAUAAAAUACUAUGAAUUACCUUACAAUUUAUAAAUGAUAACUGUAACAUUUUUCUUCCAUCCCUUCUAACAAAAGUCUCUGGCUCCGCCAUUGGUUCACGAGUCUCGCUAUUUCUAUCUAACUUGCAUCUCAUUAUUUUGUAUUUUAAUUUUAUUAUUUAUACUGGAGUUUCAUAUAUUUCUAUCAUUAUCCAACCACCUAAAUUUUAGUAUAUACUUGGAAUAAAUUAAAGGGAGAAUUAUGUUUUGGACCCAGUUGGGUACAAAAAUUAAUCUUUGGUCCACAUAAGUUGCAUAAUUGAUGGGAAUGAUAUAAAAUUAUUAAGAGACUAAUAUACCCUUUAAAUUUCCAACUCAAAUGCUUUGAAAUUAAUGGGUUUCAUACAUGGUAAACUAAAAAUGGCAUGUCACCUUUCUUAAAAAUCUAACUUUAAAAUCCUGCUUGUUGGGUCUAUUGUCCAGAGAAAAGAAAUGGGUAUGGUUCAUGGAGAGAGAUAGUAAGCUUCGGGGAAAAAGAUUCUCUGAUGAUAAUGCAAUUUCUCCAUAAUAGCUAUCAUACGGAUCAAACAUAUCUUGAAAGUAAAUAAAAUGGUUGUCAUGAUUGUGAGGUUGGUCCACCACACGAAACGGAGAAAAUGAAGAACUCCGAUGAAGAUCUAAAGCAUCUUCAGCUAUGGUCGUCAUGAUGGCAGUGGCCUAGCAACCUCCUGUGAAGAUGAAAAUAUGCUAAAUAGGGUAUAUGCCCUUUUGAAGUAGAAUUGUGGGGUAAGUAUAUUUUCUAUAAUUCAAACCUAAGUUUGUAGAGGAUUGAGUGUGUUUUGAUUAGGUUUAGGGAUGAAUUGUGACAUUCAUAUUUGUGACAUUUAUUCUGCUAUGAUCCAGAGCACAACCCCAUUAAUUGUAUGAUUGAAACUCCUUUAUGUUUGAGUAGAAGAUUAAUAAUAUGAUUACUAGUAGUUGGGGAACAAAUUGAUACUUCAUUUUUUUCCUUAUGUUAUAAACCAAAACAUUACAAAUAUGGUUAACCUAAGUAUGAGCAGACAUUCAGUAGUAGUUGUUUGGAAUUUCUUCCUUUGUACAAGACGUUUACACGAAGUGUAUAAGGUAAAUAUGUUAACUAUACAAGGGUGUACAAAGGUACUAUGGACCCGCAUUUUUCACAUGUACUCCCACUCGAUCGGCAAGACUCGCUUUUAUUUUUUUGUGAAAAAUUUAACUUUGGAAAAGUCGAAGUCGUUACUUAUUUUAUUUUAUUAAAAGGGAAAAUAAAAUAAGAAAGAAAACCCUAAAGAAGUGACUCCAUAGUUUUUGGAAAAAUAUGUCUUUGAAAAACCUGAAUCUAGGUCCGGGGAUUAGGUUACCUAUUGGGAAGGUACCUCUAAAAGGUUUUAAUUACUGACUAAGUUGAGGGGAAUAAGACAAUUAAUUGAUUGAUUGAGGGUACCUAGGUAGACUGAGGUGAUUUAAAAAAAUAGCAUGCUAAACAAGAAAAGUCAAAUCAUGAUCAUAAAAGAGAUUUAGGGUGCAUACCUGGAUUGCUUCUCAAACGCUAUCACAAGACAUCAAAGUUAGUUCGAAUAGUAUAUCAUCCAACAUGCGCUUUAUCAGAAAUAAUAGAACAAUGAAACAUAUAUAUCAAGACAUCCAAGCAAUAUCAAAUAUAGGUGGAGUUCAUAGUGACAAGCAUAUUCACAGAAUUUAGAAGGUGGGUGUUAGGGGGCGUACCUAGAUAGCAUAAGUAACUUAUAAUGCGCUUCCACAAAACAUGAAGGGUUGGAUAAUAAAUAAUAAAAUAAAGAAAUCUUAGCAUGCUUAUCUAAUUAGUAUAGCAAAAAUGAUCAAAGUAUAUGAAAUAAUCAAUUAUUAUAUAAUUCCUAAAAAAUGUAUAAAUAGGAUUACAACAAGUGGAAAAUGUGGCAACAAAGAUGAGUUUUGAAAAACGAAAAGAUUUUAUGUAGGGGUUUCACCAAUUCCCCAAUUAAUAUACACAAAUCUAGCUUAGAAUCAUCCCAUUUAUUUGGGACCACAAGCUUUGAUUUGUAUUUUGUUCAAAACCAAAAUUUUCAUUGAAAAUCGAGAAAGAUGCGAACCGAUCAAAAGAUGGUUGCAUAUUAUUUAAGAAAAUGAGAUUUUGAUUCUAAGGACUCUAAAUGAGUUUUUGAAAUAGAUUUUUAAAGGGAUCUUUUGAGAAAAGUGUUAUAUUUUAAAAUAAGAUAAAUUAAUUUGAAAACAAUAAAACGUAUGAGAAACAGAAUACCAAGCAAAACAAACGGAAACAAAAUUACGAAGUAAAAUUUUUGGCAACCAAGAAAACUGAAAUGGUGUGAAUGGAGGCCAAUCAUCACUAUUUUCUGAUGGCCUCUGAAAAAUAAAAUUGACAAGAGACUACCAAAGUAAUAAACUAUUAAAACUUAGAUCAAAUAAGCUAACAUGAUACUCAUCGAGGAUUAAUGACUAAUUUUCAAGAAACAUGUCAAUUAAGAGUAACAAUCAAGAAUUAGCACGUGAUCAAUUAAACACACAAACGUAUCUAGACUGAUUAAAAAUGGACCAAAUUAAAUUAGGGCAAACAUGAAUUUUCAAUUAUAGAAUUAAUUUUAUUAGUGAGCUAAUAGUAUGGAAAAUACCUAAACUAAAUAGAUGAGUGAAGCUAAAUCAGAGUAAACUAAACACAGACACCUUCUAAUAUGGAAUUGAUUUUAUUAAUAACUUAAAAUUAUAAAAAAAAAACACCUAAAAUAAUUAAAAUGAAUCAAAUGAAAUGAAAGCAAGCUAAAACAAAAUAUGAAUUCAUGGAAUCGGGUUCCUAAAUAAAUUUACAUUAUUAAAAUGAAAUCUAAGCUCAAAAUGAAUUAAACACUAAUUAAAGAAAAUUUAAAAAUCAAAUAUUUAACACAUAAGAUCAAUUAUUUUAACCAAAUAAAACUUUACUUAAACCAAAAAUUAAAUUAUAAAAAUAUCCAAAAGAAAUUUUAAAACUAAAUUUCUAACCUAUAAAAUCAAUCUCAUUAACAAAUGGAUAAGUAGACAACACAUAAAUAAAUAAAUAUGACUAAAACGAAAUAUGAACUCAUGGAAUUAAUUUUUUUAAAUAAACUUACAUUACUAAAAUGAAAUCUAAACUUAAAAAUGUUUUUAACACCAAUUAUGGUAAUCCUAAAAUCUAAUAUUUAACACAUAAUAUUAACUAUUUUAAAGAACAAAAAUUUCACUUAAACCCAAAAUUAAAUUGAAAACUAUCCAAAACAAAUUUUAAAACUAAAUUUCUAACCUAUAAAAUUAAUCUUAUUAAUAAAUAAAUAAAUAGGUAAUGCGUGAAUAAAUAAAUAUAGCUAAAACAAAAUAUGAACUCAUGGAAUUAAUUUUUUUAAAUAAAUUUACAUUACUAAAAUAAAAUCUAAGCUUAACAAACGUUUUUAACACUAAUUAAGACAAGUCUAAAAUCUAAUAUUUAACACACAAAAAUCAAUCAUUUCGAAAAACUAAAAUUUACUUAAACCUAAAGUUGAAUCAAACUACCCAAAGCAAAUUUUUUUGACACUGAAUCUUUAACCCAUAGGAUCAAUCUUAUUAAUAAAUAAAUAAAUAACGAAUCAUUAAAUUAGUAGCAAAUAAAUAAAUAAAUAAUGAAUAAUUAAAUGAAUCAAAACCAAAUUAAACAAAGAUCAAAUUAUAUGUAUUUUUUUUCAAGGUUAAAAUUAUAUAAAAUUGUAUUUUCUAAAUUUAAUAUGAUAAAUCAAAACUAACUUUAAACACAAUUCUAAUCCUUAUGUAAUCAAUCAAAAUUAAAUAAGAGUGAGAUUCAUGCUGCCAUAAUAAGACACGUAUAUACUAAAGCUAAUAAAAUAAGUCAAGCCACUCAACCCAAUAUAGUAAUCCAACUUGAAAUAAACUAAACUUUGAAAACCCAUAUGUAAAAAAAUAUCUUACCUAACCGGCUGUGAUGAUGCCAAAGCAACUUGGUGGUGUGCGGCUGGUGUAGUGAAAAACGAGUAGAUGAUCAACCUAGCUAGUUGUGAUGCUCCCAAGGCAAACUGAUGGUGUGCGGCCGACGCGGUGAAGGACAAGUAGAGGAUCAACCUAGCCGGCUGUGGUGCUUCCAAGCAACCCGAAUGUGAGCGGCAUGAUUAGAGGUGGUGUGCUAGUGCAGGUCUCCAAUGGCGAUGGUACGUCAUUCUUUCAGAGAUAGAGAUGAUGUCGCAUGUGGACUGUGCUAGGCUGCAAGCAUCAAAGAUCACUCGUGACCUAUGUUUCGUCGCCCAAAACUCCUUUGAGACACUCCGACAUCGGUUUUCAUUAUGUCUUUGGCAGUCAUUCGCUAUAAUUUUCGAAUCAGAUUACACGAUGAAUGUAUGGGACCAUCCGCGUUGAGAAGAGAUGAGAAUGGAAUUUCAGUCUACUAUCUAUGGACUGAUCUCAAUGAGAAGUGGGUGGUUGGCGGGACUUCAAUGGUGCGGUUGAGUUGGAACCUUCCUCUCAUCCAAUGGUGCAGCUGCCCAUUUGCUCAUCCCAAUUCAAUAAGGAAGGUAUAUACUCUUCUUUUCCAUCACGGGGUGAAUAGCCGGUGAAUAUCAACAAGCAGUUGAGUAUGUGGGUUCCAAAACAACAGUCUGAAUCUCUUUUGAAACCUGGACCGAUUCUCUCUCAAAUAGCAGCCCCAAAUGCCCUUUUUCAAACAUGGACUGAUUUCUCAACUUGAAAAUGACAGCCUAACUUCCCAAAAUAAUCCUUCUGAAUCACCCUUUAACUCUCUUUCUCCAGAAUGAUGCCACUACCGCCCUUCAAUCGUGCGUCCUUUUUUUUUUUUUUUCCUUUAAUAUUUUCUCAAUCACUUUUUUAGACCCCCCUCCAUCCACGGUGAUGGAAGACACAACAGGAAAGGUCUUUUUUCCCACUUUCGGAUCACCCCCAAUUCCUUCCAAUCAUUCAUUUUUUUUUUCUUUUGUCUUUCAUUUUCUCUCUUCCUCUCACUCCAAUCUCCCAGCUGUCUCCAUCUUUCCUCUUAAUGGUGUCUUUCCUUUUCUUUUUAUAGAGAACGUGGGAUCCAUGCAAACAUAAUAAUAAAAAAUAAAAUAAAAAUAAAAAUAAAAGAAAACUAAGGGUUAGAAUAAUAUAAAAAAAAAACAUGCAACUAAGAAUUAAAAAUCCAAAAUAUGUAAUUUUAAACGAAAUUAAAAAAAUAUAAAUCACAUGCAUAACUUAAAAUGAAUUAUCAACUCAAACAACUCUCUAUCAAAAUAAAUUAAUAAAUAGAUAAAUAAACACGAAAUGAAUAUGAUUAUUAAGCUCAUGCAAUUUUCUAAAAAUAAGUAAAUAAAUGAAUAAAACUAAUAAAUAGAGAGAAAUAAUAAAAAAAAAAAAUCAAGCACAUGCAAGCCAUAUGAGCUAUGCAACCAUGCAAACCAUGCAUUCAUGCAAAAAAAAUGAUCUAGGGUGCCUAAGUGGGUCUAGGGUGCCUAAAUGGGACUAGGGUGCCUAAGUAGGUGUAAGGUGGUGCCUAAUGGGCCAAGUGUGUCUAAAUGAGCCUAGGGUGCCUAAGGGAGCCUAAUGUCAUGAACUUAGUCGUUUCCUAAGCUCGUGCGACACUUAGAUAAGUCAAGACGCUUGAUCUUGCUAAGUCAACCUUACUUCCAACGCUUAGCUUGCUAGGCAAAGAUGCUCACGACUCGGAAGCUUGAGAAGGCGUAAUAGGGGACUCUUAAAGAAUAGAAGCUUUAUUGCUUUCAAAUGAAGCUAUACAAUGCUUAGAAGCUCAUUUGCUUGGUUAAGAAGUGAUUUGGGUAGUUUUUGGGUGGUUUUUGGAUGGUCUUGGGGUGGUACCUUGGCCAAAUGAGGUCCCCUCCUAUUUAUAGGCACCAAUGAAACUCUCUGGAACCUUGGAGGGUUCCUUACAAAUCAAGAAGAUUCUAGAAUACCCUACAUAAUUCUAUGUACAAGAAUAUAUAGGAGAUUCCUAGAAUUCUCUAGAAAGCCUUAAACUCCUCUCAUGCCUUCCACCAUAGUGUAGAGAUGUGUGGACAUCUCUAGGCAUCUCUAGAACCUUCCACACUCUUCCCACUAAUGGCUAAGUGUAUAUGGCUCUAGGAGUCUCUAGAAGCAUCCUGGACUCCAUAUAAGCCCAUGGAGAGGCUCAUUUGAAGCAUCCUAUGACACUAAGGUGCCUAAGUGAGACUAAGGUGAUGCCUAAUGGGCCAAGUGUGCCUAAAUGGGCCUAAGGUGCCUAAAUGAGUCUAAGAUGCCUAAAUGAGCCCAAGGUGAUGCCUAAUGGGCCAUGUGCUUAAAUGGACCUUAGGUGCCUAAAUGAGGAUAAGGUGCCUAAAUGAUCCUAAGUUUAAAUAGGGCUGCCAAGAGUCAUAAUGGGGUUAGAUAAAUCCCUCAACCAAAGUCCCCAAGAUGGCUUAGAAAAGAUAGGCUACACGAAUAGUAAUGGGCCACUAGAGAAUUGCUGUAAAGUAUCAGACAAUUACUUAAUAGGACAUGUGCUAGGAGGACAAAAUUGAGGGUCAACAUGUACUUAUGUUGAAUGAUUUCAAAUCUUUUUAAAAUCAUUUCCAUUUUGUAAGGAUGAAGGACAUUCCUCACACACAUUCCUUGAUCAUGCACUCAUCGUAUUCAAUUUUAUUACUUUAUACAUGUUCAUUGGAUGACCUAUCGCACUAAUGAUGAAUAGGGACCUAUAUUAGGUUUCAUUUCCCCAAUUUCCCUUAGGCAUCACAUUGGAACAUGUUUAGCCCACCCAUAUGCACGCGUUCAGUUGUAGCUAUGUCAAAUUUUUACCACUAUACAAGGCAUUUACACUAAGUGUACAAGACAAAUGUGUUUACUGUACAAGGGUGUACAAGGGUACCUAUAUUGAAGGAUUUCAAUUCCUUUUGAAAAACUAGAUUUCUCAUCUUCCUUUUCUAAGGAUGGGGAAUAUUCCUCAUAAACAUUCCUCAUUUCCCUUCAUACACAUUCAUUGGAUGAGCUACUGUACUAAUGAUGAAUAGGAACCUAAAUUGGGUUUCAUUUUCCCUUUUUUUCGCUCAGCCAUGGCAUUGGAAUAAGGUUAACCCACCCAUAUGCACUCGUUCAGUUGUAGCUAUGUCGAAUUUAUGCCACUAUACAAGGCAUUUACACAAAGUGUCUAAGGCAAAUGUACUAACUGUACAAGAGUGUCUAUCUUAAGGGAUUUCAAAUGAUUUUGAAGAACUUACUCAUUUACUUUUUCCAAUCUUGGGGGACAUUCUUCUCACACAUUGCUUGACCACAUGCUCAUCACAUGCAUUUUAUUUGAUGUCCACCAUGUUCAUUCAUUCUAUUAGCUCAUCUACUAAUCAUGAAUAUGAACUGAAAUUAAGGUCAACUUUUUCCUCAUUUUCCCUAAUCCAUGAGAAUGGAAACAUUGUUUACCCACCCAUAUGCACUCGUUCAAUUGUACCUAUGUGAAAUUUCUACCAUUGUACAAGGCAUUUACACUAAGUGUAUAAAGCAAAUGUGCUAAUUGUACAAGGGUGUACAAGGUUGCCUAUCUUGAAGGAUUUCAAAUGAUUUUGAAGAACUCACACACUGAUUUGCAAUGAAUAAAAUAACCUUUGGGCCAUAUAAGUUGCAUAAUAAAGAGAGAUGAUAUAAAAUAUCAAGAGACAAAUAUACCCUUCAAAUUUUCAUAUCAGAUGUUUGUAAAAUUUGGGUUUCAUGCAUAGUCAACUGAAGUUUCCAUGUCAAAUCCCUUUAAAAUGUGUACAUGGCUAUGACCUAGGUCUAUUGUCCAAUAAAAUAAAUCCAGAGAGAGGAUUUGGGUAUGGUUCAUGGAGAAAGAUGAUGAACUUUGGCGAAAAAGACUGUGUGAAGAUCAGGCAAUUCCUUCACAAUUCCUUUGGGUCAAAUGGAUCUCAAAAGCAAGAAUUCUCUUAAGAUCUAAAGUAGUUGUAGCACUGGUAGUAGGGUAUAUGCCCAGUGAACUCCUUUGAACAUGAAAAUAUGCUCCACCUAUUGAAGUGGUUUUCGAGUUAGUACAAUUUCUGGAAUUGGAACCCAGGUUUGUGGAGGAUUGAGGGUGUUUUUAUUAGGUUUAGGGAUGAAUAGUCACAUCCAUAUUUGUCAAACUUCUUUAUGUUUGAGACCCCAUUAAUUGUAUUAUUGAAACUCCUUCAUGUUUGAGUAGAAGAAUAAUAAUAGGGAAAAUUAUUUUUGAAUACCAAAUGUUGUGCAUGUAGAAAGUCGGUAGAAGGGUUUUUCUUUUGCAUCAUUCACUGAUCUAUUUGUAUGAUUAUUAUGUAAGAAUCAUAGACUAGUAGUUGUUUUUGAAUAAUAUGAUGACUAGUAGUUGUUUUUGAAUAAUAUGAUGACUAGUAGUUGUUUUUGAAUAAUAUGAUGACUAGUAGUUGGGAAACAAAUUUAGACUUUAGUUUUUCCCCAUUCUAAGGUUGAGAGUCCAUGUAGUAUAGUAGCUUUGUGAAUCAUGACAAUUGAUAGCCUUGCAUCAUCAUUCACUGUAGGUCUUGUCCAAUGUGCAUCACAUGUGCUAAUACACUCACCAUGAGAAACUCAUCCCGACGGUCAAGACAAGUCAUCCCUCCAAUUAGGAGGUGUUACACUACAGUCUCUACUGGAUUACCCAAAUCCAUGAACCAAUAAUGGACAACUUAUCUACUUACAAGGAACCCAUGAAUUGUAUCUUCUAUGCAACCCCUAAUGAACUCAAAUCAUGUACAAUGUAAGAGAUAGAUUGAAUGCUCAAAUCAAUGUCAAUACAACAUGAAUUGUUACAUCAUGUCUUGCUUUUAGGAGGUCAAUCCCAACAAGUACUAUCUUCAUGCACUAUUUCUCCUUAAGUAUCUUAGGACACUUAUCUUAAGAGAACAGAACUUUAUGUCUAAAGGGUAGAAAACCCUUUUUGGAAUCCUACAUAGCAUACUUGACUCAAGUGGGUUGAGAUAGUGCAAGCUUCCUAUUCUUACAAUCUCCUAAGACCUUAAUCCUAGGAAUAGACUAUGCUUCUCUAGAUCUUUCAUCUGAAACUGAGUAGACAACUAGAUCUUGAUUGAUGAUAAUAACCUUAUAUCAUUCCUAAUGAGUAAAAUAUUAUCAGCAUAUAGGAUCAUGAAGACCAUCAUGCUUCCCUACACGUUCUUGUACACACAACGUUCAUUUUCAUUUUGAUCAAAAUCAAAGGUUUUGACCAACUAAUCAAAAUGCUUGUACUAUGAGAGAGAUACUUGCUUUAAUCCACAAAUGGAUUUAUGCAACUUGCACACCAAACACUCUUGGCUUUUACUAUGAAACCAUAUAGUUGCAUCAUUUAAAUGGUCUCACUAAGAUAGUCAUUUAAGAAUGCUUUCUUGAGAUCUAUUUAUCUAUCUCACAAUUGAGAUGUGUUGUAUUAGAUAAGAGUAUUCUCAUGGAUUUGAGAAUGGCUGCCAGUAAAAAAGUCUCUUUAUAGUCGAAACCAAAUUUCUGGCUAUAAUUCUAACCUUCUAUGUUUCAACCUUUCCAUCUACUCCUCUCUUCCUCUAGUAAACCCGCUUGCACCAUAUAGCUUUUAUCCAUUUAAGUGCUUCUACAAGCUUCUAGACUAUGUUAGAAUGCAUGGAUUCUAACUGCAUCCAUAGCUCCUAGCCAAAAAGAUGCAUCAACAUUGCUUAUUACUUCAUCAUAAUCUAUGGGAUAGAUCUCAUGUUCUUAAGGAAUUAUCUCAAAAGACUCUUCCUAAUACAUUAAUAGAUCAAGUUAUACAAAACCCCUACUAUGACGAAACAUUAGUAUACUAAAAAUGUUAGAAGUGGUAGGUACUAGAUCCAUAGUAUUUUGUGCUAUUGUGGGAGUGUAAUCUAAUACUCUUCAAUCAAUAUUACUGCUAAACUUAUUACUUAUCAUAUAGUCUUCUUUCAGAAAUCUAGCAUUUGUACUUACAAAUACUUUUUGAUCAAUUUGAGUGGAAAAGUAAUAGUCUGUCUACCCAAUUCUUCCUUGGAGGAGAUUAGCAAUAACACCAUGGAAUUGACCAAGGAUUUGGUCCAUUCAAAUCUCUCUCUUCAACUCACUCAACCAUGAAAGGCUCUAGGUUAUCUUGGGAAACUUCUACCAGAAGAUUUUUUUAAUCAAUUAAGAAAUUUAUAGUGGUGUUUGGGAUUUGAAAACAGAUGCAUUAUAGAGAGUGAAAAUAGUGAGAACUGAUUUUAGUUAACUUGGAUCAACACACUUUAAUGUCCUGUUGUUUGCCUUCUUUGAGGAUCCUAUCUAUGAGAUUGUUGAACAGGGACAUGCUUCAGUCCCCCAUGGUUAGGAAGAUCUAAAUAUUUAUCAUGUUGGAAGAAUUCGGCGCUAAACCUUUUCAAAAGGAUGGCUCUAUCUUUUUUGGGGUUCUAGAAUCAAGGAGAAACAAAAUAUUAUUGAUUUAUUUCACUUUUUGGUAUAUAGAGAGUGGACAUACUUAUCAUUUUUAUCAAAAACAAUCUUUGAAUAGGCUGCCUAGAGAUUGUUGUGUUAAUCUGUCAAUUUAUGUAUUGUCGUCUUGCCUCUUAAGGUGUUGAUGUCAUUCAGCUACAAAGCUUUGACACCCCGCUUGGCCACAGAAUUUCCCCUAAUACCUGGGUCCUGUCGUGGAGUGUAUAUUUUAUUCAAGUUUUUUCUCUUUCAAAGAUGUUCAAUAAAUUAUUCUUAUUACCUAUUAAAAUAAUCUAAAUAAUAUUUCUCUUGUGAAAGCUCAAACAUUCUUAUUGUUCCUCCUCUUUCUCCUCUGUUCUAUGUCAGUAGAUUUGAU
rnacentral:lncRNA from 1 species